rnacentral:lncRNA from 1 species
AUAGAGUAACUAUGAACGGAAAAGAAAGGCAUUCGAUUGCACAGUUUGCCUAUUGCAAGAAAUUGGUAGAGACACCAACAGAGCUGGUUGAUGAUGAACACCCCUUAUUAUAUAAGCCAUUGGACAAUUUUGGUUAUCUCCGAUUCUUGAGCACAGAUGAUAAUUUUAAUACUCCAAAUCCACUGAAGGCCUAUUGUGGCGUCUAAAACACCAGACGCAUCGAUUUUUAUGGAUGAAAAGCUUUUUCUUCUUUUCAGUCGAUGUUUAUUCUUCUCCCCUAUUGUGCCCACUUUUUCUUGAAAAUGUUAGGGGAGUAGCUUUCUCCAGGAUUAAUCUAUGCAAUAGUUUAUUUCAGUGUGCUGUCUGUUUUGUACCUAGAAGAAAUAAAUAAGGGAAAAGAAAGAAAUUGGAGGGAUACAAAUAAAUAAAAUUUGGCAAGUAAUCUACUGUUCAAUCAAAAGGAUUUGGAGGUUGACGCAUCUGAUGAGAUAUUUUUUUCUUCCCAUUUCAAUCUCAGUUGGACUAAUUACUAAACUGACUAAUUACUUCCUCCAACUGAAAUCUAAAUCCACAUUCCACGCCCUCGACGGGAGCAAACGAGAUCGUAUUCUCAAUACGCUAAGCAUCGAGCUACGCUGCAAAUUCCGUCUAGUUCAAUUUCUUCACGGGCCUACACAAGUUUUUGCCGUAUGCUAUAAAUCCACAUCCUACACCCUUGAUGGGAGCAGAUGAGAUCGUAGUCUUCUCAAUACACUAAAAAUGCAUCGAGCUAGCGCUGCAAAAUCCGUCCAGUUCAAUUUCAUGGAUAACCCAAAGUUGCAAAAACUUCCUGUCAUCAAUUUCAUGGUAAAGGUUUUCAUGUGAAUUUAUACUACUUGAAAGAUCGAUAGUGUUAGUAAUUGAACCAAAUUAGCCUGCAUGUAUUAUGUAUUAAACGUGCAAAGUGUUUAAAGUAAAAUUUCACCUCAUGGAAAGUGUCUUUGUAAAUUUAAGAGUCUACUUGUCAUACGGUGGGAGCAAUUCUAACAUCAUUGUUAAGUUGCAAAUUGACUUUAUUUGGCUCACAACAUUUUUUACCUAUCAUUUGAGUAACUUAUUUAGAAGUAUUUGCUUAGAGAGAUUUUUUGGGUUAAUUAUUGCUCCAACUGAAAAAUAUUUUUAGCUCAUUGUGUAAAACAAGGUGAAUAUUUUUGGGUUGGGAGCAAAAUUAAAUAAAUUGAAGAAACAUUAAAAAUGCAAGGUGAAAAACCGUUCUUAUUAUAAUAAACAAAACAGUUGCACACCACAAGAAAGAGGGAAAAUAAAACAAGAUUAAGUAUGCGAUCGCAUGUGACGUGAACAUGUAUAUCAAUGACCUCAUUGUAGUAACGGCAAUUGUUCUCUAGUUGAAGAACUUUUAUAUUUGUUUUCUAAAAUAAUUUUGAUAUAGUUAUUCUUUUUGUCCUCUAUAUGUUUUAAUUAAUCGAUAUAUUUUGUCCUCUAGAAAGCGUCCUUAUUUUUUAAAACAAAAAUCAAGAUAAUCAAGCUUUUUUUUUUUUUGCAGGCAUGGAGCAACAGCAGAAUACAACCUUGUUUUCAUCGAGUUUUAACGAACGCGAAUGCAAAAUGAUUGUCAUUGGUGAUGUUCUCUUUCAAUAGUGGGGUCUUACACAUCCCUCAGGAGUUGAUUGAUGAUGAACAUCCACAGCGCUUUGAGUCAUUUGAUGGCCUGGGAUUGCUCGAUUUCUUUGUCGAAGAACUGCGAAUGGGCCUGCCAACCAUAGUUAUUAAACCCGGCCCGAGAAGAAAUCCGGUGAAAGAGGUGGAUCAACAGAUUACUGGUUUAAUCAGUGGGUGAGUGGUUCAACAGGUGAGUCACUAAAUAUACUUAAAUAUUAUGUCUUAUAAAUUUUUAUAUGAUUGAAAUUAUAAUAAACUGUGCCUUAGUAAAUGUUUAAUUAGUCUAAUUUAUUAUAGAAUCAUUAAUGCUUAUAAGAAUCAACAAAACUUAAUUUUGCCUUAUGGGAAUUUCAUUAUUUUUAACAAACUUUUGGUUUUAACUUAUGGAAAUAAACUAGAUAAUGUUAUUUUAUUAAAAUUUGCCUUAUGGAAUUUGGGAAAUAAAUAAAAUUUUAUUAAAAGAUUCCAAAUAAAUUUUAUUUUGAAGAAAUAAAAGAAGAAUAAAAGCGUAAUAUAUAAUAUAAGAAGGACCAAACUAAUAAGUGGAUUGUUGGUCUAGUGGUGAUUACACUAUAUUCUUAUACUUGAGGUCCCAAGUUCGAACCAUCAAUGCAACAUUUUCUAAAAAAAAUUUCGCAUAGUAACCCGGGUUCCUCAGAAAAAUCGACUGGUUCACUGGGUUGAUCGGUUCAUCAAAAUGAUCUAAUUAACGGGUUCAUCAAAAUGGGUUCAGCGAUUUGUCAAAAAGUCAAUGGUUCUACUGUCGAGACGAUCUAAUUAGCAACCCGGCCCGGUUCUAUGACCAGUUCACCGGGUUGAUCGGUUGAACCGUCGGGCCGGGCUGAGUUUAAUAACUAUGCUGCCAACUGAUUCUACCACCAAGAAAUAUUGUAGUCUUUGACUUUUGAAAUCUUUCUCAAAAUCUCACACACACACAUAUACACACACUAGUGAGAUGGCCUGUGCAAUGCGCAGGGGAUUAAUAUUUCCCAUGUUAACUGUGUUUUAUUGUAUGGAUUUAUUAGUAUAAAUCUCUAUUAUUAUCUAAUUUAUGUAGAUCAUUAGGGAAUUGUUGUUUUUGUUAAAGGUUAACAAUUAUGAAAUAUAUAGAAUGUAUGAGAGCGCUUAUAUAGAAUGCAUAAGAGCAAUGUUAUUUUCCAUUUGGAUUAAGAUAAUUAGAAAUUUAUACAGUAAAUGAUUCCCAAAAGAGUAUUAAUCAUCGUUGACACAAAAAAGAAGGGACCUGCAAGUCAAUUAAGCACUUAAACCAUAGAACUUGACAUUACUAAAAAUUAAUCACCACUAAUUAAGCACGUAACCAAACAAACCCAAAUUAAACGACGUGUCAAUUUGAUCAAAGCAAUCAACUUUCUGAUCCCAAUCUUUGACAGUUUAUUUUCACAUUCAAAUGACAAAAAAAAAACUCCAUUAUAAAAUAAGUGAAAUUAAAUUACUCUAAACUGAAAAAAAGCCAUUAUUAAUUAGCUGAAAAUUAAGAAAGUGACCAACCCUACUCAGCUACUCAUAUGCAUAAUAGGAAAAGUAAACUUUAUUUUGUUUACAUACAAAUAUUCUAGAAAUUUAAAAUAGAAAAUGAGGCAGUAUUACUGUAAAGGGAAAAAAGUCCCAAUGGCCCUCCAACUUUUGGCCGCGUAAAAUUUUAGCCUUUUAACAGUUAUAAGAAAAUUUUUGGCCCUCGAUCUAGUAGAAGUACAAAUUCUUGACCCUUCUGUCAAUUUCAGUAGUUAUGAGUGACGGAGAACAUCGUCAUGUGUGACGCACGAGAAAAUAACAAGGGCAUUCUUGUCCAAGCGAGAGUAUUAAUCGAGUAAAAAUUUACUUGCUUCUUCUCCUAUCCACCUUCAAUCCCUAGGGAUUUGGGAAAUGCUAUCCUUGCAUAAUUCGAUUUGGGACUUUUCAAUUCAAGAAUAGUACAAAACAGACAAAUUCCUAUCGGCACGAGAAAGAGAUCAUAGUAAUGGUUUUCUAUCCCACUGAGGUACCUUGUUCUAACAUAAAAGAACAAAAAUUCUUUGCCUAAAGCAAAAAGAAACAGCACAUUGAGGAUAGCUGAAGGAAAUUGAAACAAACUCUUGACAUGCAUAAUAGGAUUGCUCUUGAUAACCUGGGAUUGCUCGAUUUCUUUCUCGAAGAUGUUGGAAACUUUUCAAAAUUUGUAUGAUGUACAUACAUGUAAUUAAUGUAUAUUCAUUAAUUUUUGGUACAUGUAUAGUAUUGUGAAUGAUUCUAAAAUGUACAUUCAUUUAUGAAUGUAUUCAUGUAUAUGUGAAUUAUUGAAUGAAAGGAUAGAUUCAUGUUUGAUCUAAUGAUCAUGAGAUGCAUGAAUUAAAGUGCAUGAAUGUGUACACAAUACUUUGAAUCUAUUCAUACACAAUACUUUGAAUCUAUUCAUACAAGUGUUUAAUGAGGUCUUUUGUUUCCCAAACAAAUCUUCCUAUAUAAAGAGGUCAAGUAGAGAGUGGUUUGCUGCAGAAAAUCACUUUCCUACUAUCCUUACUCUCUCAAAAGCACUCCUUAGUUCACAAAGGGUUUGUCUUGCUUUGUGCAAGAGUUUAAGACAAACAAAACUUCAUCUUAUCCUAAAGGAUAUUUGUCCAAGGUUAUUGCACUUUAUAUCGGACAAAUAAAGCCUAAAGGAAAGUGAUUUCUAUCACGAUUUGAAGCCAAUUCUAGUCACAAUAUUUGCCAAUUCUUUGCUUUCUACCCAACAAUCUUUAGGCUUUAUUUGUACUCUACAAUGGCUGGUACCUUGAAAGAUUUGGCAUCCAAUAUUGUCAAGCUCGAGAGGUUUGAUGGAGGGAAUUUCAUUCGUUGGCAAAAACGUGUUCGUUUCCUUCUCACUGCACUCAAAGUGGUCUAUGUUUUGACCACACCAAAACCAUUGAUCAAUCCCGAUGAAGAAACUCUUGAAGACAUCCGAAACCGUCAGAAAUGGGAGAACGACGAUGAAAUAUGCCGUGGUCACAUCCUCAAUACCAUGAGUGACAACCUGUUCGAUGUCUACCAUUCAAUUGCUACCGCCAAGGAACUUUGGGAUCGAUUGGAGUCCAAGUAUAUGCAAGAAGAUGCUACAAGUAAGAAGUUUCUUGUCUCGUCUUUUAAUAAUUAUAAAAUGGUAGAUAAUAAGUCUGUUAUGGAGCAAUUUAGUGAGAUUGAAAGGCUUAUUAAUCACUUCACACAACACAAUCUACACAUGGAUGAAGCCAUUAUUGUUUGCUCUAUAAUAGAUAAGUUACCACCUUCUUGGAAAGAUUUCAAAAGAGAUCUCAAACAUAAGAAAGAGGAUAUCUCUCUUGAGAUUCUUGCUAAAUCUCUUCGAGUAGAAGAGGAAAUUCGCAUGCAAGAAAAGAAGGAUAGUCAAAUCCUUGAAGAGAAUAAAGAUUCUACUUCAAAAGUGCAUGUGAUUGAAGAGAGACAAACUGAAAAGUCUCAAGGAAGCAAGAAGGGCCAACAACCCAAGAAUCAAUCCAAGAAAAGAAAGAAGGGACAAUGCUUCUAUUGCAAGAAAGAGGGACACUACAAGUCCGAGUGCAAGAUUCUUCAAAACAAGAAGAAGAAGCAAGAGUCUUCCCAAAACACAAGCAAAAAUCUUGUAGCAAUGAUAUCUGAAAUCAAUAUGAUUGAAGAUGAUUUUGCUUGGUGGGUUGAUUCUGGAGCUACGCGACACGUGUGCAACAAUAGAACGUUCUUCAAGUCCAUGAAACCGGUGGAUGAAAGCACCGUUGUUUACAUGGGAAAUUCUGCUACAAUUCCGGUUCAAGGCAUUGGAGAAGUAGAAUUAAAAUUUACUUCCAAAAAUGUUGUAACCUUGACAAAUGUGUUUUAUGUACCGGAAGUUAGGAAGAACUUGGUGUCAGCUGGGCUGUUAAAUAAAUUUGGCUUUAGACUUGUGUUUGAGUCUGACAAAUUUAUUUUGUCUAAAGGUGGUAUGUUUGUAGGCAAGGGUUAUCUUUGCAAUGGGAUGUUUAAGUUGAAUGUACUUGCUAUUAGAAAUAAUAAGAGUGAUAUUAUUUCUGCGUAUUUGGUUGAGUCUUCUUUUGAAUUGUGGCAUAAUAGGAUUGGUCAUGUUAAUUACAAAAGAAUGCAUGAAAUGAUGAGACUUGAUUUGCUGCCAUAUUGUGAUAAGAUUGAAGGAAAAUGCAAUACAUGCAUGCUAACGAAAAUCACAAGAAAUUCGUUUCCUAAAGUUGAAAGAUCAUCUAAAAUCUUGGAUCUCAUUCAUAGUGAUGUAUGUGAUUUGCAUGGAACUCCUACUUUGGGUGGUAAAAAGUACUUUGUGACUUUUAUUGAUGAUUAUAGUAGAUACUGUCAUGUUUUCUUGUUACACUCAAAAGGUGAAGCUUUGCAAAAAUUUAAGGCAUACAAAUCAGAAGUUGAACUUCAUUGUGAAUCCUUUAUCAAAUGUCUAAGGACAGAUAGAGGUGGGGAAUAUUAUGAUAUUACCUAUUUUGAGUCUGUUAGGAUAAAACAUGAGGUGACUGCUCCUUACACACCACAACAAAAUGGUGUAGCCGAAAGGAAAAAUCGUGUAUUGACAGAAAUGGUUAAUGCACUUUUGUCAAAAUCUGAUUUAAGUCAAGGAUUUUGGGGUGAAGCCUUGUUAACGGCUUGUCAUAUCCUAAAUAGAGUUCCUAAUAAAAGGAGUUCUAUAACCCCUUAUGAAUUUUGGAAUAAAAGGAAGCCCAACCUAAACUAUUUGAAAGUUUGGGGUUGUAGAGCUGUUGUAAAACUCCCAGAAUCUCAAAAAAGGAAAUUGGGAGAAAGAGGUGUGAAGUGUAUAUUCUUAGGAUAUGCACAAAAUAGCAAAGCAUAUAGAUUCAUGGUAAUUGAAUCUAAUGAUUCAAUUUCGGUUAAUACCAUAAUUGAGUCUAGAGAUGCUAUUUUUGAAGAGAAUAGGUUCACCUCUAUAAAAGAUGUUAUUCCAAAAUCAAGUGAAUUGACAAAAGAUGGUGUAUAUGAAACCAUUGAAUUGAGAAGGAGCAAAAGAGCUAGAAAGUCAAAAGACUUCGGUUCGGACUUUUAUAUGUAUCUAGUUGAAGGAACUAGAGAUACAGUGAGCAACCAAAUCUCAUAUUGCUUCAAUAUUGGGGCUGAUCCCAAGACCUAUGAAGAAGCAAUGAACUCACAAGAUGCUCCCUUUUGGAAGGAAGCUAUUAAUGAUGAGAUGGACUCAAUCAUGGGUAAUAAAACCUGGAAAUUAGUAGACUUACCACCUGGUUCAAAACCAAUUGGUUGUAAGUGGAUCUUCAAGAAGAAAAUGAAGAUCGACGGAACUAUUGAUAAGUUCAAGGCCAGGUUGGUUGCCAAAGGGUUCACACAAAAGUAUGGUGUGGACUAUUUUGACACAUAUUCACCAGUAGCUAGAAUUGCUACAAUUAGAGUGCUACUUGCUAUAGCUUCUAUCCAAAAUCUAGUCAUUCACCAAAUGGAUGUUAAAACAGUAUUCUUGAAUGGUGAUUUGGAUGAAAAAGUAUAUAUGGAGCAACCCGAAGGGUUUGUGAUACCUGGUCAAGAGCAUAAGGUGUGUAAACUUGUCAAGUCUUUAUAUGGACUAAAACAAGCACCGAAACAAUGGCAUCAGAAAUUUGAUCAAGUUAUUCUUGCUAGUGGGUUCAAAAUAAAUGAAUCUGAUAAAUGUAUUUAUAGCAAGUUUGAUGAUGGCAAAGGUGUCAUAAUUUGUUUAUAUGUUGAUGACAUGUUGAUUUUUGGGACUGACUUGGAACAAGUUGAAGUCACAAAAACUUUGCUUUCAAGCAAAUUUGACAUGAAAGACAUGGGUGAGGCAGAUGUUAUUCUUGGUAUGAGAAUCUUCAAACAUGAUAACAAUAUAAUGUUGUCUCAAACACAUUAUAUUGAAAAGAUUCUUAACAAAUUCAAUCAAAGUGAUUGUAUUCCAGUCUCAACACCAUUGGAUCCCAAAAUAAAUUUUGUGAAAAAUGAGGGGGAUCCAAAAUCUCAAAUGGAAUAUGCCAAGAUUAUAGGGUGUUUAAUGUAUGCAAUGACUUGUACUAGACCUGAUAUUGCAUAUGCAGUUGGUAUAUUGAGCAGAUAUACAAGCAACCCUAGUAGGUUACAUUGGCAAGGUGUAACCAGAAUUUUAAAGUAUUUAAAGGCCACUAAGAACUAUGGUAUAUGUUAUACCGGUUAUCCUUCAGUUCUAGAAGGAUUUUCAGAUGCUAGUUGGAUCACCAAUAAAGAUGAUCACUCGUCGACAAGUGGUUGGAUCUUUAUGCUUGGUGGAGGUGCAAUUUCUUGGGGUUCUAAGAAACAGACUUGUAUCACCGAUUCAACAAUGGCAGCAGAGUUUGUAGCACUUGCUUCGGCCUGUAAAGAAGCUGAAUGGCUACGUAAUUUACUUUGUGAUAUACCAUUGUGGCCAACACCUUUGUCGCCUAUCUCAAUUCAUUGUGAUAGUGCAGCUACACUUGCUAAAGCUUAUAGUCAAGUGUAUAAUGGUAAAUCAAGACAUAUCGGUUUGAGACAUAGUUAUGUCAAAGAUUUGAUUACAAAUGGAGUCAUAUCAAUUGACUUUGUGAGAUCAAAUGAAAAUUUGAGUGAUCCUUUGACAAAAGGGUUAUCAAGAAAUUUGGUGUCAAAUACAUCAAGGGGGAUGGGUUUAAAGUCCAAAAUUCUUGAUCACUAAUGGUGGAACCUCAAUUCAACGCUAGAUACAACGUCUAGUCUUGAAUUCAAUGAGUGAAAGUACACCAUUCUAGUGGUUGGUGCACUAUGUGAAGUUUAGACAUCCCAAUGUUGAAUAGUGCAUGUUAUUCUCGCCAGUGCAAAUGUAAGGAUGAGUCAUUGGACUCUUAACGAAUCUUAAAAGUGCUAUCUAUGGUGGGGGCACUAAGAUGUCGCCUAUAUGAAUGUUGGUUUUCGGCAAACCACAAAGUUAAGGACUUUACUUUGUAAACAUUCAUGAAAGGAUAGUGAUACAAGGCCGUAAAAUGUAUCAUUGAAGAACUUAUGGUUGUGCGUUGCUCAGUGUGUGAUGUGUUUAUGAGGUUGGUCCAAUGUCCAAGUGGUUCAAAGCUUGUCUACCAUCUUGAAGGAUUGAUUUCAAAGAACCUUCACUAAGAUAGUGGUUCAAUCGAAAGACACCAUUAUUUAUGCAUAUGAGUGUCAGAUUACUUGGUGACCUUUUAGAAAUCCAUUUUCUAAUUUUGAAAAUGGCGGGGGAUUGUUGGAAACUUUUCAAAAUUUGUAUGAUGUACAUACAUGUAAUUAAUGUAUAUUCAUUAAUUUUUGGUACAUGUAUAGUAUUGUGAAUGAUUCUAAAAUGUACAUUCAUUUAUGAAUGUAUUCAUGUAUAUGUGAAUUAUUGAAUGAAAGGAUAGAUUCAUGUUUGAUCUAAUGAUCAUGAGAUGCAUGAAUUAAAGUGCAUGAAUGUGUACACAAUACUUUGAAUCUAUUCAUACACAAUACUUUGAAUCUAUUCAUACAAGUGUUUAAUGAGGUCUUUUGUUUCCCAAACAAAUCUUCCUAUAUAAAGAGGUCAAGUAGAGAGUGGUUUGCUGCAGAAAAUCACUUUCCUACUAUCCUUACUCUCUCAAAAGCACUCCUUAGUUCACAAAGGGUUUGUCUUGCUUUGUGCAAGAGUUUAAGACAAACAAAACUUCAUCUUAUCCUAAAGGAUAUUUGUCCAAGGUUAUUGCACUUUAUAUCGGACAAAUAAAGCCUAAAGGAAAGUGAUUUCUAUCACGAUUUGAAGCCAAUUCUAGUCACAAUAUUUGCCAAUUCUUUGCUUUCUACCCAACAAUAGAAAUGCGAAUGGGCCUGCCAACUGAUUCUACCACCAAGAAAUAUUGUGGUCUUUGACUUUUGAAAUCUUUCUCAAAAUCUCUCACACACACACACAUAUACACACACUAGUGAGUUGGCCGCAUAUCGAUCAAGCUGGCAAGCAUCAGCACUAGCUAGUCAUAGAGUCUCUGAAAUUCUCUCAAAGUGCUUAACUACAAAUCCAUUUCAGAAGGUGUUUGACUUUUAAAAGACAACAUAGAAGACUCUGACCAUUCGCUUCUCACAUAGCACUGAAAUGAUUUGCUUAAACAUCAUCCAAAAUUCCUUUCUUUUAAAACCUAUUUUCUUUUGAAAGCUAUAUCUGUUUGGAUUGCUAUUUUUAGAUUUUUUUUAUAAAAAAAAUAUAUUAUAGUGAUUUGAUGUAUGUGAAAUAAAAAAGUGAUUGAAAAUUUUAUUUACGAAAAAUAAAAAAUAUAAAAAUUGUCUGAUAGAAAUCCCAAUCCAAACAAGGCCACGAAAGAAAAGUACAAGUAGCAAAAUUUUUACCUAACAUCUAUUUAACUGUUCAAAUUAUCUGUAGCCAGUACGUCUAAAAAAAUGCAGCACAUUUACACAUGAUAUGAGCAAGCUAAGAUAUCAUUUCUAGUUUGCCAUUAUUGUUACAAGCUAACCAGAAAAAAUCUUUUGAAAGGAGAGUAGCUCAACCAAGUGUAGAUGCAACAAACUUAACAAGAGUACAAGCGAUAGGAUUGCUAUUCUUAAAGGAACAAAUUAUCCGGAUGGCCACUAAACUUAUACAAUCAUCGAGUUUUGAUCACUAAACUAUUAAAAGUCUGAUUUUGCCUACUGAAAUGUAUAAAGUUAAGAUUCAAAGUCAUUCUAUUAGAUUUAGUCGUUAAGUUCAAGAGGGAACGUUAUUCAAGGGACAAUUUAGGAAGUUCAUCAGCAAGAACAACUUCGGAGACAAAUCCAUUGUUCCCCCUACCAAGCUCAUUGAACUCCUUGAAACCAUUGGUGGCAUCCUUCAGUUCUGAAAGCCGAAACACUUGGGCAAUCCCAGGACAUUGGACCACACACGAAGGAGGAUUUGGAUCACCAUUGGACCACACCCAAUGGCUACUUUGUCAACCGAACCUGAACUUCCAAACGACACCGUUUUGGUGGCAAAUUCUCCCAUAGUACUAGAGUUAUCUCCCUACAACGCUUCAUACGUACACAGGUCAGCGUUGCAAUUUUGGUUUGUGCCCAGGGAAGUACUCUUGCGAUGCACAGGAUAAAGGACUAUAAGAUGAAGACUCAGAUGGGUCAAAGAUCAGGUCGGAUUGGUUAAAGCAUGCAUCGCAGGGCUGGCAUUGGAGCUAGUUGAUUGGCUACCCGUAUCUGAUACCAGGUAGAAUUCUUUCACGGGUUGGCCCACUCCGAUCCGAGGUAAGUACUUUCCCUCAGAAUCAGUCAGUGGAGUUUCCAGGUCCUCAGAUUUGGAUCACCAUUGGACCACAAAUCUUAAGAUCUUUUCGAACACACAAGUUGGUCAGAUCUGGCUCAUUGAGAAUGCUGGUGUUGAAGGCCAAUUUUCCUUCACCACAAGUAGCAAGGCUACAUAAUCCGGGACUGCAUAACUGCAAUGGAGGAUCAUAAUCUAAAGGUGAAGGACCAUUUACGAACCAACAAUCAAGUACUAGAUCAGCCUCCCUGAUGCCACAGGUAACAAAAUCUGUGGAAGCAAAGGCAAGAAAACCAGAACUCUUUGGAACCAAAGACGAAUUAAAGUUCCCCCAACUUUCAACUCCCUGAUCAUCUUCUCGAAUCCCACAAAAAUGUUUUUCUCCAGCUACCACCGAAACGAAGUGAAUCUAGUAGAAUGCCAAAAGAAUCAUUAUUACUCAACAAAUGUCUCCCUGAUUUGCCCCUUUCUUUUGUCUUGGGAAUCGCAUGGGCACUCAGAUCUGGCGUAUUUAAUGACUAAACCUAAUAGAAUGACCUUAGGUCUUAACUUUACAUAUUUCAAUAGUCAAAACCAAACUUUUAAUAGUUCAGUGACCAAAAUUCGACGAUUGCAAAAGUUUAGUGACCAUUUGAAUAAUUUGCUCUUCUUAAUAUCUGUUAGGUUUGGCCCCACGAAAUUGACGAAGGGAUUUUUGGCAACCCUAAAAGACAAAUAAUAAAGUAGAAAUAAGUAAAACAGGAACACAAGAAUUUACGUGGUUCGGUCAAAUUGACCUACGUCCACGGGCGAAAGAGGAGCAAUAUUUUACUAUGAAGAAAUGAAUACAAAAGAUGCCUUAGGAAAGUGUUCUUACGUCUAAAAUACCUAAUACUAAAAACACAAGAGAGCCCAAAAAUAUUUAACUAAACAAAAGGCUUAAUGACCCAAAAGUCCAAAUAGCCCACUAAUGCUCUCUUGGUUUUGGUGGACUUAACCCCAUCAUAGGCCCACUAUAUUUAUAGGCAAUUAAGGGAAAGGUUCCCUUAUACAAACGCCGAUGUGGGACAAAGCCACAUUAACAAAUCUCCACCUUGGCGUGCCCCCAACAUCAACAAUAGCAAAAUUGCUCCACCUUCUCCACAUAAACCCCAAUGGAUCUAAAUCACCAACAAUGAAUACCAACCCAAUUCAAGAGGUUUUGUGAACAUGUCAGUAGGAUUCUCCUUGGUACUAAUUUUCUGAACAAGGACUUUUCCCUCAGCAAUAGUAUCUCGAAUGAAAUGAAAUUUCACAUCAAUGUGCUUCGUCCUCUCAUGAUACAUCUGGUUUUUACUCAAAUGAAUGACACUUUGACUAUCACAGUAAAUAGUAGUAACACCUUGAUACAAACUAAGUUCGCCAAAUAGACUCUUCAAUCACAAGGCAUCUUUGAUUGCCACAGUCAUGGCCAUAUAUUUUGCCUUCGUAGUAGAUAAAGUUACGACGGGUUGUAAAAUAGCUUUCCAACUAACUGCACAACCGCCAAUGCAAAAUACGUAACUUGAAAGUGAUCUUCUCCUGUCACGACCCCCAGCAUAGUCAGAGUCUACAAAACCAACCAAAGUAUCAUUAUUUCUUCCAAACUCCAAACUACAAUUUGAAGUCCCUCGCAAGUAUCUGAAAAUCCACUUCACAGCCUGCCAAUGUGUUUUUCCGGGACACGACAUAUAUUUGCUAACCACACUGACUGCUUGUGCAAUAUCUGGAAGAGUACAAACCAUUGUGCAAUAUCUGAGAAUCCACUUCACAGCCUGCCAAUGUGUUUUUCCGAAAUACGACAUAUAUCUGCUAACCACACUGACUGCUUGUGCAAUAUCUGAACGGGUAUAAACCAUUGCAUACAUAAUGCUGCCAACUGCGUUGGAAUGAGGAAUCCAUGCCAUAUACUCUUCCUUUUCAACUGACUGUAGUGACUGAGCAGCAGAUAGUCGAACAUGACUAGUAAGAGGAGUAGUCACAGGUUUAGUAUCUUUCAUGCCAAACUUCUCCAAGACCUUUUCAAGAUAAUUUUCUUGAGUCAAGAAUAAUUUUCUAGCUCCUCGGUCUCUUUUGAUCUCCAUGCCAAGAAUUUUUUUAGCUGCUCUCAAAUGUUUCAUAUCAAAUUUACUACUUAACUGCAACUUCAAAGUGUGAAUUUCUGACAAAUUCUUGGCAGUAAUGAGCAUGUCAUCAACAUAAAUCAGCAAAUAAAUAAAAGAACCAUCAUCUAACUUCCGGAAGUAAACACAACUAUCAUACAUGCUCCUUGAUUAAUCAUGACUCAACAUAAAAGUGUCAAACCUCUUAUACCACUGUUUUAGAGACUGUUUCAAUCCAUAUAAGGGUUUCUUUAAUAAACAAACAUGGUUUUCUUUUCCUUCAACUUCAAAUCCCUGAGGUUGCUUAUAAAUUUUUUCUUCAAAUUCACCAUGUAAGAAAGUUGUCUUAACAUCAAGCUGCUCCAACUCCAAAUCAUAUAUGGCAACUAAAGCAAGCAAAACAUGAAUAGAGCUAUGCUUACAACAGGUGAAAAUACUUCAUUAAAAUCAACACCUUGUACCUGACUAUAGCCCUUUGCAACCAAACGUGCUUUGUACCUUGUAUUCUCAACCUCUGGAAUACCUUUUUUCUUCUUGAAAACCCAUUUGCAUCCAACAAUUUUCUUAUCUGGAGGCGGCUUCACAAGAACCCAAGUUCCAUUUUGAUGAAGAGACUCAAUUUCUUCAUUCAUCGCAACCAACCACUUAGUAGAAUUAUCACAAGCAAUCGCAUCUGAAUAAGUAGUAGGCUCAUCAACUACAUCAAUUUCUUCUGCGAUAGACAAAGCAUAUGCAACCAAGUUUGCAUAUCUUUGUGGUCGUUGAAUAUCCCUCCUUGGUCUAUCUAUGGCAAUGGAAUAUUCUUUUUCUUCUGAAUUAUUUUCAUCAGUAGAUUCAGAUGCAUCUAGUGGCACUUGUUGAAUAGAAGGACCAGAACUUCCAAUCUCAAGCUCUACCUGCUUCUGCAUAUUUUUAUCUGCUUGACAAGAACUAGACGACUCCUUCUUGGAAGAUAACAUAGAGAAUUCAUUAAAAUUAACAUAUCUACUGAUUAUAAAUUUUGAAAAUUUUGGAUUAGAACACCAUAAUUUGUAUCCUUUCACCCAAAAGCAUACCCAAGGAAAAUACACUUUUUAACUCGAGGUUCUAAUUUUCCAUCAUUUACAUGCAUGUAUGCUGGACACCCAAAAAUUUUAAAAUCAGAAUAAUCAGCAGGAAUACCUGACCAAACUUCCUCAGGAGUUUUGAAAUUAAGAGCAGCAGAAGGAGCACGGUUGACAAUAUAAUAGGCCAUAGAAAUUGCCUCAACCCAAAAAUCCUUUGCCAACCCUACGUUAGAGAUCAUGCACCUCGCUCUCUCCAAAAGUGUUCUGUUCAUACGUUCGGUUACACCAUUUUGCUAAGGCGUCAUCCUGAUAGUGUGAUGCCUAACAAUUCUUUCAUUCUUGCAAAAUUCAUCAAAUUCUCUUUCACAAAAUUUCAUGCCAUUAUCUGUUCUAAGCCGCUUGAUCUGUUUACCUGUCUGUUUCUCAAUCAAAACUUUCCAUUGCUUGAAAGUGAGGUAAACGUUAUUCUUAUGUUUAAGAAAAUAACCCAAACUUUUUUUGAAUAAUCAUCAAUGAAAGUCAACAUAUAUCUGGCACCACCCUUAGACGGAAUACGAGAUGGACCCCAUAAAUCUGAAUAAAUAUAAUCAAGAGUACCUUUCGUCUUAUGGAUUGCUUGAGAACUGAAGCUAACUCUUUUUUGCUUUCCAAAGAUACAAUAUUCACAGAAUUCCAGUGACCCAGUACUCUGACCGCAAAGAAGUCCCCUUUUGCUUAAUAUGCCCAGGCUUUUCUCGCUCAUCUGUCCCAAAUGCAUAUGCCACAAUUUGGUGAUGUCAGAAUCAGACAAAGAUGAUGAUGACGAAACUGCAACCGAGCCUGUGACAGUAGAUCCCUGCAAAACAUAUAAACUACCAACCCUGCAAGCUUUCAUUACAACGAGAACACCUUUAGAAACCUUCAUAACGCCAUUUUCAGCUAUAUAUUUGCACCCAAGAGUCUCUAAGGUGCCCAAAGAGAUGAGUUUCUUUUUCAAAUCAGGAACAUGUCUAACAUUAGUGAGCGUCCUCGCAAUACCAUCAUGCAUUUUAAUUCGAAUUGUACCCUUACCAACAACAUUACAAGCGGCAUUAUUACCCAUCAAAACAAUUCCACCAUUGUAAGAUUCAUAAGUGGAAAAUAAAUCCUUAUUGGGACACGUGUGAUAAGAGCACCACGAAUCUAAAAUCCAUUCAUUUUUAGACCUUGUCCUGUCAUCAGUUACAAAGAAAAUACUUCCUUCAUUCUCAUCAGCUGCAACACCAGCUUCGGCAGUCUCAAAAUUUGUCUCACCAGGUUUCCCCUUUUGUUUCAAUUUAUUUUUCAAUUUGAAACAAUCUGCCUUAAUGUGCCCCAUUUUAUAAUAAUAAUUGCACUCCACAUUUCUAUGUCUGGAUUUAGAUCUAGAUUAUCUACUUUUAUCAAAUUCUCUUCUCUCAGUUCUGCCCGUAACAACCAAACCUUCUACAUGGCCUCCACUAAAUUCCUCAGUAAUAUCCCUGUCUAUCUGCUCCUUAGAUUUUAAUGCAGAUUUAAUUUCCUAAUACGAAAUUGUUUCUUUUCCAUAAAUCAUAGUAUCGCGAAAAUGUUUAAAAGAUUGGGGAAGGGAACAUAAAAGUAACAAGGCCUUAUCCUCAUCAUCAAUUUUUGAAUCUAUAUUUCCCAAAUCCAUAAUAAUGGAAUCAAAUUUAUCAAGAUGUGAGAGUAUAGAUGUACCUUCAGUCAUGCGAAACAUAUACAAACUUUGUUUUAAAUAAAGCCGAUUCUCAACUGUCUUCUUCAUGUACAAGACUUUAAGUUUGUCUCACAUAGCCUUUGCCGAAGUCUCAGUGGCUACCUCCCGCAAAACCUCGUUAGAGAGAUUUAAGAGAAUACUGGAUCUUGCCUUUUUAUCCAUCUCAGUAAAAUUUGCUUCUAUCACACUCUCUGACUUUUUCUCAAUUCCGUGUAUCGCUAGAUCAACUCCGUCUUGAACCAAAAUGGCCUCCAUCUUAAGAUGUCACAUCUCGAAGUUGACAUUCCUGUCGAAUUUCUCGAUGACAGUCUUUGUUAUUGUCAUUGUUGCCACAAAAUCUAAAGCCUCCGAAGAAGCUCUGAUACCAGUUUGUUAGGUCUGGCCCCAAGAAAUUGACGAAAAGAUUUUUGGCAACCCCAAAAGACAAAUAACAAAACAGAAAUAAGUAAAACAGGAACACAAGAAUUUACGUGGUUCGGUCAAAUUGACCUACGUUCACAGGUGAAGGAGGAGCAAUAUUUUACUAUGAAAAAGAGAGUAUAAAAGAUGCCUUAAGAAAGUGUUCCUAGCCCUAAAACACCUAAUACUAAAAACACAAGAGAGUCCAAAAACAUUUAACUAAACAAAAGGCUUAAUGACCCAAAGGCCCAAAUAGCCCACUAAUGCUCUCUUGGUUUUGGUGCACUUAACACCAUCACAGGCCCACUGUAUUUAUAGGCAACUAAGGGAAAGGUUCCCUUAUACAAAAGCGAUGUGGGACAACGCCACAUUAACAAAAUCCUUGCCUUGUGUGCUUAAAACUACUAAUCAUUAUGCAUUCUAUUACCUUCAAAGGAAUUAAAUCAUAGAGUGGUAAUUCCGUUAACCAACCUAGCAAAUAUCUCCAUCCACAAGUUCACCAGAGGCGAUUCUUCGCUAGUAUUCUACAAGGGGCCCUGCUCCAUCUAUUUCUGCAGUUAAACCAAAAUAAUCCAAUAAACAACAAAAACUAAAACUUCAUGUCCAUUAAAAAUGCCACUAGAAGAAUUGCGAACCAUAAAUCACCAAUAAGGUAUCAACCUCCAUUAGCUACUCUUGCAGCAUCAGCAUGCAAACCUCUGGAGAACAGGUAAGAUGGAUGGUAACAUCUGCAAAUAUCUGCAUAUCGGUGUAGACUUUAGGUUGCCUUUCACUCGUAUUGACCCAAAAAUAGCGGGUUUGUUUGGAUUGUGAAUUAUUAGAGAUUUUUUUACUGUAGCACUUUUUGUGAUGUGAUGUAUGUGAAAUAAAAAGGUAAUUGGGAAGAUAAAAAGGUGUGUUGGAAAUUGUAAUGAUGAUGUAAGCAAAUAUAUUUUGACAAAUAAACAGCAAUCCAAACAAACCCGCUGUCUUUUUGGAAAUCCGAUAGAGACAGUAUCUGCUCUGUACCGAGAGACUGAUUUGAAUUGCUUGAUGGACCUAAGAACUGCUCUCAUCUCCAAAUCAGAACUCAAGUAAAGCAAAAAAGGGAUAGCUGCCAAUCCAGUUUUGCCAAGGAAAGAGUAAAAAACCCUGAAUUUCGCAUCAGAGCUGAAUCAAGUUGCUUUGAGAGAAAUGAUACGUUGCAAUCAGAAUAUUCCUAUUUUAAAGGAUCAUAAAAAGACAGACUUUUGACUGUAGCAUCUACUUUACUCAAUAAAAAAAUAGCAUUUCCCUACCAUGAAGUUUGAUAACAUUAAUCCAUCAAGUAACACUACCAUUGUGCAAAAACCAUCGACUUCAGUCAUUAACCAUUCAUAAUGGGCACAAAGAAAUCUCAGAUUCUUCAGACAAUAAAACAGAAAGAAUAUUGAAAGCAUCAACAAUCUCAUCGUUCCUAUUAACAUAUUACAUCUAAUAUCAAAUUAGAGGCUGAAAAAGACAAGAAUCACGUCUUUUGCAUACAAUCCUCCCUGGUCAAAAAGAUUGAAGAGAUUAAGAGAAAAGGUCAAGAAACACACCUGAAUAGAUAAAAUGAGCAAAACCCAGGUGUAAAAACCUAUGAAGUCAAAGACUGGAUUAUUGUUAGGUUUUUUUAAAAAAUAAUGCACCUUCUUGUAAAUUGGAUUUCAUCUAAAAAUUUUUCUAAGGCUUGUACAUAAAAUUAACAAAAUUGAUUAAGCAAACAGGCUGCAAGGCUUUGUCAAGUUUUUUUUUUUUUUAAGCACCUUGCAAACAGCCCAGCAGCCUUUGAGAAAAGUUUCCAGCCUAAGCCCAGUAGCUUAACAUUUAAAAAAAAAAAUAUUCAAGCAGGUUGUCAGGCUAACAAUCUUAGCAGCCUUUUAGAAAAAUUCCUAAUUGGCUGCUGAAAAAAAUUUUUGCCCUUCCUGUCGAGCUAAUUAGCACGGCAGGCAUUGUUCUGUAUCAUUUUCCUGUGAAAUCAAUAUUCAUGAUUUUUUUUUCAACAAUAAACAAAGGAAUUAGUGGAUAUAACGUACUUAUAAAUAGUAGAAAUGCAUAUUAUUCUAUCCACUUUUUCAACACUUGAUACAAAGGGAAAAAAAUCGUGGCACAACAAUUAUUAUUAUUAUUAUUUUCAAUGCAAUUCUUGAUUUUUGAUCUCUCUCUCUCUCUCUCUCUCUCUCUCUCUCAGUGUUUUGAAAAUCAGAUUGGACCAGCCGGUUCGAUCGAUUGAACCGCGAACCGGCCAUAGCACCGGUCCGAUUCUAUACUAAAGUUGACUUCAUUAGAAAACCGGUGAAAAUCAGUCAAACCCGUUAAAAUCGGUGAACCGGCAGUUUCCAGUUUUCAACAUUCCCCUCUUUUUUUUUUUAAGUUUUGCAAAAUAAAGCUACCAAGGUUCGAACUACCUUUGUGAUAGAAGACAAUGUAAUAACCAUUGUACCACCACAUUCUAUUAGCCUUUUUUGAUAACUUAUUUAUAUAGAAUAAACAUCCAUCUUUCUUUUCUCCAUUUUUCUUACAAAAUUCAUCCUCUCAUGACUCUUUCUUUUUAAUUUUCAACUCUAAUAUCAUUUUUCUUUGAAUUUGUCUAUUUGUUGCUAAAUCAUUCAAGACAUAUAAUAUUUAAACAUAUCAAUGUCCCUAACAUAAUAAUACAAAUGGUUGUACACUUAAGAAUACAAAUCCUGUUAAAUUUUAUCUCCAUAACUACAUUUUUUCAGAUAGAGAAAGACAUCCCUCUUAUUUUACAUGAUAAGGGGAAAAAAUAAAAAUUAUUAGUGAAAAAAUAAACUAUAAAAAUAUUACCAAAGUUCUAUACAUUUCAGCUUAUACAAUUGAAGUUGAAAGGAAAACUGCCGGACUUAGUCAAGUUGAAAAAAAAAAAAAACCUACCUAGCAAGUUGUGGGGCUGACAGCCCGUUAGCCUUUUACAAAAGUUCCCAACCCAAGUCGGCAGCCCAACAUUGGCUGUCAGCCCGGCAGCAUUUUAGAAAAAUUCCCAACUCCUGGCAGCCCAACAUUUAAAUAAAAAAAAAAAUUGCCUUGCCUAGCAGUCAUAGUUCUAUACCACUCUCGUAUCAGGUUAAUAUUCCCAAUUUUUUUCUGCAAUAAACAAAAGAAUUAGCUCAAUAUAACGUUCUUAUAAAUAGUAGAAAUGCAUAUUAUUCUAUUCCCUCUUUCAAUAUAUACUUAAUAUAAAGGGAAAAAAUUGUGGCACAACAAUUUUUUUUUUGUUUUGAACGCGAUUCUUGGUUUUUUACUUCUCUCUCACUCUCUCUCUCGAUAUAAUUAAGCUAAUAAAUCCUAAAUGUGUUUCAUUUUCUCUUUAAAUUAUUAAAAUGUAUGUCUUCAAACUAAAAUAUUGCAUUUAAGAUAGAAAAAAAAUAUGAUUUUUACCAUCUACUUCUACAUACUUUUGUACUUUGUAAUAUAUAAUUCAAAGCUGAUGAUAAGUUGUAAAUUUAAAUUACAAGCACCAGCGGAUUUAGAUAUACAGUAAAACUUUUAUAAAUUAAUAAUUUUGGGAUCAUGCAAAUUUUAUUAAUUUAAAGAGGUAUUAAUUAACCAAUAAAUUACUAAAUUUAUUAAUCUGUUGAAUGUGCUUACGAUUCAAAGAAACACUCAUUUAAUCAACUAAAAUUUUAUUUUAUUUUAUAAAAAUAUAAAUUAUUUUAUUAAUAAAAGGAGUUAAAAGUCUGAGGAUCAUAAAUCCAUAUCUGUUUGAUUUGUAAGUAUAAUUUAAUUGGAUAAAAAAUUUGGAUGAUCUUCAAAUAUUAAGUUGGUCAACUUUUAACCCUCCAACUAUUAAGUACAUCCCUUUGCACCCUCAAACUUGUAAAAUGGUAUAUCUCACCCUUUUGGCUACAGAUAAUUUUAGAAACCUUUCUUGCAGUUUACGUUAAUAGCAUUUAGGAUCUCUAAAGUUUCAAAAUUAUCACUAACCUCCCAUAAAACUAUACCUUUGUAAUAUCUCACUCUCGUAUUAUAAAAAAAUUCUUAAAAUAAUCUGUUACUGAGAGAGAUAUAUUUUUCUCCCAAUUCUACCCUUUUGUAUUGUUUUAUUAUCCCUUAGCAUGAUCGUAGGAUGAUGGGAGAAGCGCUAAGUUCUUUUCCAAUUACACAGUAGUACAGAGUACAUUUGUGAGACAUCAAUUCGAACUAGGUUGGUCUCGUUUAAAUACCCUCAAAUAUAGAACAUUACACUGCUCUGCCAUUUUAGGUAUUAGGUAGAUGUGAUGCGACCGAAUGUACCUUCGGUAGCUUCCAAAUGACCAAGGGCGUUUUAUUACAAACGUGUAUAUAGUUUUACCAUGGGUGUUUUUAUCAAAAACCAUGAAUUGUUUGUUCCUAAUCUGAAUUGUUUAACCUCUUGGCCUCACAGAUGUUACUACCUUAAUCAUCUAGAAUAUUGACAUGGCAUUUGUGCCAUAACUUUCGGUAUUUUUGUUGCAAAUGCUGACUUCUCUAGUGGAUACUAAUACAUUGAUUGUAUACAUUUUUGAAAUGCAGGCGUGGAGCAACGGUAGAGUGCAUUCCCCAUUUCAUAGAGUAACUAUGAAGGGAAGAGGAACUAGGUAUUCGAUUGCACAAUUUUCCUAUUGCAAAAAAUUGGUAAAGACACCAACAGAGCUGGUUGAUGAUGAACACCCCUUAUUAUAUAAGCCAUUCGACUGUUUUGGUUAUCUACGAUUCUUGAGCACAAAUGAGGAUUGGAAUAUUCCAAAUUCACUGAAGGUCUAUUGUGGCGUCUAAAACACCAGAUGCAUCGAAUUUUAAUGAUCAGAAGACUACAUGAUCUAUGGAUGAAAAGCUUUUUCUUCUUUUCAGUCGAUGUUUAUUCUUCUCCGCUAUUGUGCCCACUUUUUCUUGAAAAUGUUAGGGGAGUAGCUUUCUCCAGGAUUAAUCUAUGAAAUAGUUUAUUUUAAUGUGCUAUCUGUUUUGUACUUAGAAGCAAUAAAUAAGGGAAAAGUAAGAAAUUGGAAGGAUACAAAUAAAUAAAAUUUGGCAAAUAAUCUACUGUUCAAUCAAAAGGAUUUGGAGGUUGACGCAUCUAAUGAGAUAUUUUUUUCUUCCCAUUUCAAUCUUUACUGAUUUUUCAAAAGGAUUUGAUAUCUUUAUUGAUUUUUCUUAGCAUGGUGUUUUAGCCAUUGCGAUUGUUAAGAUUUUUCUCUAGGUUCGAUUGUGGUCGUGGCAUGAGUGAGGAGAAACUCUUAAAACAGUAGAAGAAAACACUGUAGAAUCGAGUUUUUUGAACAAAGAAGAGAAUUUCGAGGAUGAAAUUCUGUUAAGGGGAAGAGAGUGUGAGAAUCCAAAAAAUUAGGUUAUAUUUAUUUAUUUCUUUGAAUGCAUUUUCUUUACUUUAAAUAAUUGGCUUAAUGUCCUCGAUAUUUUUAUAAGUGUGUCAAGUUUUUAAAUCAUUUUGUUGGUAUAAGUUAGUACACGUUAAGUUUGAAGUGCAUUAUGGACGUGGGAACCGCUAAUGCGGUCAGUGAGGUAAAAUUUUGACUACUAGGUGAAGUUUUGCAUAAAGGGAUAUUGUUUUACAAGGUGUUAGGGGAUAAUUAGAGGUUAGCUAGAUAAAUUAGCUUUGGAAGACAAGAAGAUGAGAACAAAACCCUAAGACGCCAUUUGUCGCGAAACCGUUGGAUGUUGGACUUUGACCAACCUUUCUUAACUUUACUAAAAACCAAAAUUUGACCAAGAUGUCUUCAUUUUCUCCUUGUCUUGGCUGAAAAUUGUGAGAGGAAAAACAGGAGAGAGCGCUUCAUCUUCCACCUCAAUGCUUGCUUGAAUCUUGAGAUUUAGCCAUCAACUUUGCGAACCACUCCAUAAGAGUUGAUCACUAAGGAAGAUUAAAGGUGUUGGUAGAGUGAUUUUGGAGGAAGAAGCAUUAAGUUGCCAUCUUUCUUGAGGUUACAAGGAAACUUUGCUAAGAAAUCCCUUUUUGCUUCUAAUACUACCAUACUAGUGGUUUAGGGUUGCUAAAAUGGUAUUUUAUGAGAAAUUUCAUGAUUUGAAGUGGUGUUAUGAAAAAUUUCAGUUUUAUUGGUAAAUUUCUACCCUCAUAUGAUGCUUAAGUGUUGGCAAUGGUUUUGGUAACUUUGCUAUGUGAAAUAUCUAGUUUUUACAUGCUAAUUUGACUUGUCUAAAGAAAAUUUCAGCUUGUGAGUAGGAAUUUCAGCUUAGGGUUUCAUUUUCUAGCUUGAUUAGGUGAUGGUUAUAUGCUAUAUAUAUACUUGAUUUAGUGAGUUGUUGGCUUGAUAUGUACAUACUUGAGUUGAGGCUGUUUUGUGGUAAGAAUGAAGCCUUGAAUUGGCUGAAAAAAUUAGUAAACACAAGGGAGGUGCUACUGAAAAUUUGUCCACAGGAACCCUUGGGCAGACUUAGGAAAUCUUCUAUAUACUGUUGUAGAAAAGUCAGAAUUUAGUUCCGUUUGUUGCGUUUGAAACUAGAGUUAGAGUACUAUCAAUCGUGAAAAUUUCAGCCUUUUUCUCAAUUUCCAUGAAUAUGUAUGAAUUUUCAAAGUUGACUGAAAUUGCAUACAUGUUCUGUCUUUUACUGGAUGAAGUGGCAACUGGAGGCUCAAAUUUGACUGACUUAGGGACUGAAUCUUACAAAUGUGUCUUCUAAAAAAUUAAUCCUUUGAAUCUAUUUUCCGACGGUAUAAAGCUUAUCAAUUUUAGACUUACGAAGCUUAAGAUAUGAUUUUUCAAAUAGUGUUGUGCAAAGUUGAGAAAUUCUGUUCUCUUUGAACCGUUUUUACUUUCACUUCCCACUUUAAGUUUGGAGUUGGUCAAUCAUUUUUGGUAUGAUUUAUGAGUGGAAUUAAGGUUUAAGUGAAAGGAAAUGAAGUCUUAGAAACCUUAAUUUCUUCAUGUAUUUUGGCUUUGUAUUGCUAGCCUUGUAAUAUGGUAUAUAACCACAGGACUCGAAAGAAUUCAAGAGGACAAACCAGGGAUAAAAUGAAGGGUGGCAAUUGAUUGGUGAGUGUACCACUCGCAUGACUUGUUGCUCAACUAGUUUACUUGUACAUGCAAUUUGUGACUUGAAUAACUGUGACUUCUGUUUAUUCAAGACGAAAUGAGGGUGUACUUUAUCACACUCGUUUUUCUUGUCUGUUUGACUGGUUGCUGUAUAAAUUUGAAUCUGUUAACUGUACAUGAUUUGAUGUCGUUUGGAGGCUUGUAUCCAAUGACCUUGCGUGACAUCUAAGCUCAACCUCAUUGGUAGUUUAUCGAAUAGAGCCAGCAAGGGUUUGGUCGAAGUAGAUUGACGAACCAUGAGGCACUGAAACCCCUCUGAUAUUUGGUAUACUCAAGUAUUACCACCUCUGUUUCUGUUUGGUGUUUGGGUCCGGUAAGGGGUAUGUUUGGUGGAUGGAAUUUGAUGUAAAGUGGGGUCUACGGUCAUGGUUGCUUCUCUAAACGUUGGCGGAGAGUCAACGAGUUUGGAUCAAGUACUGCAACGGAAUUUGACCCUUGAGAGCCAUCUGUAUCCUUUCUAUUUGAAUUACUAUGUCUGACUAUGGUGUUUGUUCAUCUCCCUAUUUGGUGUUUAUAUUUAAUUGAGUAAAAGUGAAGUUCAAUGAUUUUUAACUAUUUGAACUUUUGGUACCUCAUUGGGCGAAAACUCAUACCCGUUACCUUUGUUUUCCUUACAAGGGACAAAUAUUGGAACCAUGAUUUUGGAGAAGAGUUGAGCUAGAUAUAGUUAUUUUGGAUAAGCUCCUCUGUAAUAGUAAACCCUAAUUGUAUUUUUAUCAAGUAUAACAUUUUGGCUUGUAAAGACUCCAAUGUUUAUAUAUUUAUGCAAGCGUAUGCUUAUGCAUAUUAGUUGAGAAUGCAUGUUUCUAUGGUUAUGUGAACUUUUCUUGUAUUCGUUGGAAAAUCAGGUGAGCGCGGAACUUGAGCAAGGAAAGAAAAGAAAUCUGGGGGGAAACAACUGUAGGGAAUCCGGCCAUAUUUCUGGCCAGAUCUUGGCCAGAUACUUGGCCGGAUUGUCAGGGGAAGAUGAGACAAUUUUUGUUUUGGUCACUGCCUUGAAUCCGGUCGGCAAUCCAGCCAAAUCUUGGCCGGAUUCUGACUUGGCCUUAGUUCUUUGCGCGUUUCGUUGGAGGGUUUAAUCGAAGUCCUAUUGCACCGUAUGGUUUGGUAAGCGUGUUUUCGGCUUAGUAGUCCUAGUCAGAGUUGGGCAGGCAGUUCGCUAACCCUUAGGGUACGCUCUAGGGGAAGGUGGGGUUGUCACACUCCCUCCAUCCCUCUUUCAUACUUUUCCCUCUUUUCUCCCACAAUCGCUUCUUCCUCUCAUCAAAUACUAUAUUCCAUUGUUAGCAGUCAUACCACUAUCAAUUUUUUACCAUCUCCAAAAUUUAUUUGUACUUUUUUUGUUUUUCUGUCUCUUUCUUACUAUAAAAAUUUUAGACUAUUUCUUUUUUUUUAAAAAAAAAUAGUUUUACUCUUUUCAAAUGUUAGCCAAUUGAAGUUACCAAAUUAACAAGGUGCGAACUAUAGAUUUCAUUGUCAAACUAGGAGAAGAUAAAAAAGGUGGCAGUGAUAUAGAAAAAUAAAAUAAAAUUGAGAUUUGGAAGAUAAAGAAGUGACUACUAUGUUUGUUAAGCAAAAAAAUCUAGUAAUAAUAAAAAAAUUCAUUGGUUCUCUCUUUUAUUUGCCUAUUGAUUGUGGUUUUGCUAUGAAGGUAGAUUUUGUCUCUAUUUCUAAUAGUACUAGAGUAAUAAUGAAUCAUGUUCUUAGGGACAUGAUGGCAUUUUUUGGUUCAGUAUUGGUAAUGGUAGCAGUGAGUUGCAUUAGUCAAGAAUUAGCAAGUAAUGAAUUUUGAGAUGAGUUGGAAUCGCUGGACUAUAUUUGAUUUAGUGAGUAUGCCACGUACAAAAAGUUAAAAAUUAAAACCUUAUUUUAUUUUGUCUUAUUCUCUAGAAAAAGGGUAUUUUAGGAUAUUUGUGAAAAAAUAUAAUCUAUUGGUUUAUAUUGUUACAUAACCUUAAAAGCAAGGGAGGUAGGUGUAAUUUUUAAAACUGAUGAGAGCUCUCUGUAAUUGUUGGAAACCUCAAGGGAGGUUUCUGAAAUUAUCCCAAAAGUUUAACACAUUUUCUUGGGAACAGUAGUAAUUCAAUGAGAUUCCUGUCAACCAUUGAUUUUGAAUUCUCGUAACAAAUUCAAGGUGCUGGCUAAUUUUGUAACUCCAACAAAAUAUUCAAGAAACCUUGAACUCUAAAUGAAACACAAUUAUAUGCAUUUCUACUGUUUUAUAAGUACGUUAUAUCCUAUGCUAUAAAUCCACAUCCUACACCCUUGAUGGGAGCAGAAGAGAUGGUAGUAUUCCCAAUACACUUAAGGCGUCGAGCUAGCUCUGCAAAAUCCGUCUAGUUCAAUUUCAUGGAUAACCCAAAGUUGCAAAAACUUCCUGUCAUCAACUUCGGCCAGGAGAAUUUGCAGUAUGGCACAAAAAGCUGGUCCUUGGCACGCAACGAAGUCCGCCACGCUCUUGAAGAAUGCGGUUGCUUUCUUGCUGUGUAUGAUGCAGUUUCUUUCAACUUGAGGGAUUCAGUAUUUUCUGCGCUAGAAAAACUGUUCGAUCUUCCCGUGGAAACAAAAAAGAAGAACACUUCUGAUAGGCUUUUCUUUGGUUAUCUUAGCGACCACCGUGACUCAGCUAUUCGUGAGAGCGUGGAAAUCGAAAAUGCAACCGACAUAGAAGAAGUCAAGAAAUUCUCUAAGCUCAAGUGGCCCCAAGGAAAUGAUGACAAUUUCAGGUACAACUUGAUUUAUUUAUCCUCAUCUUAUCAAUUCUUACUAGUAAAUCCAACAAUUAAUUAGCGCGCAAUGUAUUGAAAUGAUCCCAAGCGAAUUGCACCUUCAAUUUGUUUCCUUUUAUGAAUAAUUGUUAGUGGGAUCAUCCAUGAAUAUGCAAAUCUGAUAGCGAAGUUGGAACAGGUGGUGACUCGAAUGGUUUUCGAAAGCUAUGGGGUAGAGAAGCUGAAGUGUGAUUCUCACAUAGAUUCAAUCACGUACUUGCUUCUGCUCAACAGCUACGAGGCGCCUGGAGUAGACGAUGAAUAUCUUUUAACUUGAGGAUAUUUUGUAAUACAACAACUGCAGUGUGAAUUGUAGCUCUUCUUUUUUUUUCUGACAUUUUCUUACGGAAUUUUCGGCAAAUAAAUCUAACUCCCCAGAGUAACUCCAAAAGCCGGCAACUUUUGGAGUCCUGUGAGAGACUUAUAAACCUAAAUCCCAACCCCCCCAAUACCGAUGUGGGAUAGAAAACCCCACAGAGUGCCCCGCUACUAAGAGAUAAAGACCCCCCAAGCCUCUGAGAAUGAGUUUUCUUUCUGACAUUUUCUUAUGAAAGUAAGAAUUUUCGGCAAAUAAAUCUAACUCCCCACAGUAACUCCAAAAGCCGGCAACUUUUGGAGUCCUGUGAGGGACUUAUAAAACUAAACCCCAACCCCCCAAUACCGAUGUCACAGGGGUGAAUUGUAGCUUUACUGCAGUGUACUUGAUGAUGACAGCAAUGAAAGUUACAGAUUUACCAAAAAAUAAUAAUAAUAAUUUUUAAAGUCACGUUCUUUAAAAUUUUUGCUGCAUUUCCUUUUGUUUCUGUAGAAACUGGAACAUGGAGAAAAUUCUUAAAUUGUGAUGAAAAAAAAAGUUAUUCUACAAAGGGGGUAAUUUUUGAAGUUGGUUCCAGACUUGUGAUCUUCGCAUUUGUGAAAUGCGAGUUCAGAUAACUCGCAUUUCACAAAUGCGAGGUAAGUGUUUCCAGAAAAAAAGAAAAAGAAGAUCGCAUUCUCCAAAUGCAAGCUUCUUAAGCUCGCAUUCUGCGAAUGCGAGAUUAUGUACCUCGCAUUUCUUAAAUGCGAGGUACUCGAUCUGAAAACAAUCAGAUAAGCAAAUUGGCUACAAUAUGGACUCGAAAGGGGGGUGCUUGGAAACGUUAAAUAAAACAAGAUAAGCAUGUAUUUAAUAAACUUAUAUUCAAUUUAAUUAGGAAUUCUUGAUUAACAUUUUGGCAUGAUGCGUAAUAAUGUAUAGGGGGUUAGAGGGAAUAUUAACUUAAAAUAUUAACUAAAAAUAUGUAUACAAGACAAGCAUGUAUCACAUUUGCUUGUACUACUAAAAUAUUAACUAAAAUAUUUGUACCAUAGUCUUGUGCUACUAAUUCUAAUUUAUUUUUCCAGUUGCAGAGAAUGGACACUCGCUUGGCACGUAUAGAUGAUCAUUUAGGCAUUACUCCACCUCAGGGUGGAGCAGAUGAAGAUGACGAUUGAAGCUGCACCAUUAGGAUCACUAUAUUAUUUGUACAUGGAUUUGCUUGCAUUUUGUUUUUAAUCUGUGGAAUGUUGGAUGUUUAACUUGAUUUUACUUUUUCUGGUUUUUAAUUUACUAAAGACUUGUGCUUUUGCAGUGGUUUGUGAUUAUUGGCUAACAAGUUGCUUGGAUUAAAUGUUGUCUAUUUUGGGUUUUCUGAUAGGGAGUUUAGUCCACUUUUUAAUGGGAGAUUCUGUCAUAAAUUUUCCAAAAAAAAUUUAUAUAUAUUUAAUCAUAAUAAAUUACAAUGAACAAAUAAAAUGUUUUUCAAAUAUCCUAGUGAAAUAAAUAUAUGUGGUUUGGAAAUAUUUUUUCUCAUUUAAUUUGAAAAUGAUUAUUAUGUGAUUAUAAUUUUUGCAUUUAUAGGAAAGUAUAUCUUUUAAUCUAUAAGAUAAAUAAUCACAUAAUAAUCAUUUGAUUUUUUUUAAAACAAUCUCUUUAUUAAUCAACUGCAAUGAGGGAAAAAGAAACAAAAAGCAAACUGCUACCUAACAAGCUAACGAAACUCUACUCCUACGAAGGCUCGGAACGCCCAACCGAUCCAGAGUAAUAUCACCUCUCACCAGGCGAGGCAAGUCAGAGAACGAACCAUACGUUGAAUUAAUCCCAAAGUCCACCCCCACAUUGGCCAAUCUAUCCGCAGGCCUAUUCGCUUCUCGAAAACAAUGGGAAAUCUCCCUAAUAUACCGUCUAGCUUCCAUCAGCUCUUGUAAACCACUUUGCAACUGCCAUGGACACCUCACUGUACCCCUAACAAUCUGAACUAGCACCAAAGAAUCUGAUUCGAUGUGCAACUCACGAUACCCCCGAUCCAAGGCCAACCUAAUCCCAUGAAGAAGCGCCUUCAAUUUCGCCUGCAGACUCGUCAGCUCCCCAAAAAAACAUGAGAACCCUAACAGAAACCUUCCCGCACAGUCGCGAAUGACGCCUCCUCCUCCACUCUUGCCAGGAUUACCCCUAGAGCAUCCGUCAGAGUUUAGCUUCACCACCGACUGCACCGGACACUGCCAUCGAACAAUUUGCACAUGGUAACGCCGAGCCAAACCAGCUACAAACUCAAAAAAACUCGGCCACCCUCGACAAGAGGUUACAGAAUUUUUAAACCUAAUCCGAAACAGGUCUCGCAGAUCACAAAAAAUUCUAUCACAGACUAUAGUAACAGGCAAAAGCUGACCUUCGAACACAAAUUUAUUCCGCAUUUUCCACAAAUUCCAACAUAUCAAAGAAGGCAACAAACGAAAGAGAACCUGAAGAAAUGGGUUCCGAGUAGGCUUCAACCACCAGCUAAUCACCUUAUGUCGUAUCGUCGAGGAAACACCAAACCCUCCCACCACCACUUCAAAGUUAGCCCAGAUUCGCCGUGCAACCUCCCCAGUACAGAAAAUAUGGUCCAGAGACUCCUGGCAUGGGAAGGAGCAACAAAAACACCGAGACGGCCCGACAACCCCAAACUUGUGCAAAAUAUCCAUCACUGGCAGUUUGCCUCCCAGCAGACGCAGCAUAAAAAAUGAAACGUUACAUGGCAAAUCCUGACUCCAGAUCGAGGAAUACAGACAAGACCUGUUACCAACCCCUCGAGCAAUUUGGUAGGCCGACGAUAGGGAAAAAUUCCCUGAGGUACUGGGAGACCAGACCAUUCUGUCCGAGUGCGCCUCAGCGGGAGGUACAACACUCAAGAUCUGCCCCGCCAACCAGCUGGGCAAGACAGAGCGUAGCCUCUGCUCAUUCCACCGACCGUGCUCCACGAAUUCGGAAACUGCAUAUUCCUGGAAAGUAUCCACCUGGCGGCAUAACGGACCUUGUCCUAACCAAUCAUCAUGCCAAAAGCUUGCCGAACCGUUGGACAAGAUCCAGCGAAUAUGUUUCUCAGCAACCCCCUGAAUAGAUACCAAUCUCUUCCAAGUCCAAGAACUCCCCAGCAAGACUUCAGCAAAACAAGGGUGAGAGUUCGGGCAAUAUUUACAAUGCAAAAACUCAGCCCAUAAGGACUUCCGCAACCUAAACUGCCACCACAGUUUCAUUAAGAAAGCCUCGAAAACAUGCCUCAACGACCUCAACCCAGCAUCUCCCCUGUCAUAUGGCUGACACAACUGUUCCCAUUUGAUCCAGUGGAAACGCAGCCCCCCCUCAGAGGAGCCCCAAAGGAAAUUAGCAACGUCUUCUCCAGCAUCCCAAAAAUAGCUUUGGGAGGAGUCGAUGCCGCAAGAAUAUGAAGAGGCAUAGAAGAUAGCACACUCUUGAUCAGUACCAGCCUACCACCAUGCGACAAUAACCUCCCCUUCCACGAUAGCACCCUGCCCAGUAUGGAAUCACAAAUUGCCGAAAAAUAAACUUUCUUCCUCCGUCCGACAUAUAAGGGACAACCCAAGUAUAUAACUGGAAACUCCCUCGAGGAAAACCCCGUGAGUUCUCCAAGCAUACGUUUCCUCGCCCUAGGAAAGUUGCUAUGGGUCAAAAAACAACUCGUUUGAUGGUUCACCUGCUGACCUGAUACCAAAGAGUAAUCUUCCAAAGCUUUCAACACCAAACGAACUGACCUCUUCAGCCCGCUAGAAAAGAUAACGACAUCAUCGGCAUAAGCCAGAUGCGUAACCUUCGGGCAUCCUUGAGAUACACUAAACGGUGAGAAGAGCGGGGAGGAAAGCAACGAAUUUAACAGGCGAGAAAGAACCUCGGCACCGAUCACAAAAAGAGCUGGAGAAAUAGGGUCCCCCUGCCGUAGCCCACGACUAGAUUUAAAGAAACCUUGUGGGACACCAUUAAUCAAAACCGAAAACCAGACAUUCGAAAUCAGCCUCCAAAUCAUAUCAAUCCAUCUCUCUCCAAACCCAAACUUACGGAAAACCUGUAACAAAAAAGGCCAAGAGACUCUGUCGUAGGCCUUGGCCAUAUCCAACUUCAACACUACAUUGCCCCCUCGAUUAGAUUUCCGAAUAUCAGAUAUCAACUCCUGAGCCAACAAAAAAUUCUCAAAAAUCUGCCUUCCCUGAACAAACCCACUCUGUUGCGGAAAGAUAAUACUCGGCAGCACCUUUGACAAACGGUUGGCCAACAGUUUCGAAAUGACUUUAUUGACAAAGUUACAAAGGCUUAUCGGCCGAAAUUGACUAAAAUCUUGCGGGGAAGUUACCUUGGGAAGCAGCAUUAUCCACGUCGAAGAAACGCUUCUCGGCAACUCAUGACCACAAAAGAAACUAAUCACUGUUUCACACAAAUCAUUGCCCACCACCUCCCACACAAAUGUAAAAAAAGGUGCCUGUAAAUCCAUCUGGCCCACCCGCACUCUCCCCAUCCAUUUUAAACACCACCUCCCUUACCUCCUUGUGAGAUGGAAACCGCUCCAAAUCAGCAUUUUGAACAUCGGAAACAACCUUAGGAAUUACGUCCAAAAUACUCCAUGACCCGCUGGCAGUCUCCUCCGAAAGUAAGGAUUUGAAGAACUCAACCCCAAUAGCAGACCCCUGAGCUUCAUCUGAUAUCCACUCCCCCUGGUCAUUCUUAAUUCGGUGUAUGAUAGACUUUGCUCUUCUCUCCGCCACUAUCGAGUGGAAGUACUUAGAAUUUUUGUCCCCGUCCUUAAGCCAUUUGACCCGUGCCUUUUGCCUCCAAAACCCUUCCUUCGUUGCCAGAGAAUUCCUCAUUAUAGCACGAGCCUCCUGGAGAGCCAACCAAUGCGACUGAGAAGGCUCAUUUCCAAACGCAUCCUCUGCAGCUGCUACCUCGCCCUCCGCCCUCUUCACCGCGUCAAAAAUGUUACCAAACUCCACACGAGACCAAACUUGAAGGUCCCGUUUAACAUUUCGCAAUUUAGCAGAUAAACGUUGCAAAGGACGCCCAGAACAAGGGGCUGCCCAACUCCUCCUAAUGACAUCCAAAAACCCAGGCUUCGUCGUCCAAACAUUCAAGAACCGAAAAGGUUUAGGCUUGUUAUCCAGCCUCGUCGACGAUGACAUUAAAAGGGGGGCGUGAUCCGAAGGCUCCCUCCCUAGAUGUUGAACCCCCCUGAAAGAACGGCCGUUUGAUUGACAAGCAUUCUGUCCAGGUGUUUCCAAAUGCAAGCCAUACCCCCCCUAUUAUUACACCAAGUGAAAGGGGACCCCGAAAAACCAACAUCCGAAACACCCGCCAUCGACAUGAAAGUUCUAGGCUCCACUCCUUCAUCUACUCGAAAAGGCAAGUCGCCCCUCUUUUCCUCCGCGCUAACAGUGACAUUGAAAUCACCCGCCAACAUCCAAGGGUGCUCCGCCAGAUUUUCCGCUAACAAAGUUGACCAAAGCAAAGAUUGCUCUUGCUCAUUACACUUUGCGUGGAUAAAAGAAAAAUAAAUUGGACCUGAUAGAAGCUGAGAAGUGAUUUUAAGCGACAAAUGCUGAGAGGAUUCUCCCACAAAGGCACAAUCAAAAGAGUUUUUAAAGAACACCCAAAUAGACCUCUGGCUAUUCACCAUCCAACUAUCCAUCCUGAGCCGUGCUCCAAACACAUGAAUGUCACAUGGUAACGCCUUAGGCUCACAAAUAGCCACUAAAGGAAUUGAGAACUCAUCAAUUAACCGUUUUAACCUAUGAAAAAUUUACAAAUUUAUUUAAUAAUAAAAUUAGGUGUUUUCAACCGUAUGAUUAUCAAAUCUUUUAAUCUAUAAGAAAUAUAACUUUUUGGUUAUUUAUAUAAAAAUAAUUACUAGUACAUAAAAUUUUGUACUGAGACCUCACAUUUGUUAACUUCUAACUCUUGUGAGUUUUAAAAUAAAAAGGAUUUAUUCCUCUAUGAUAAAUGUCAAUGCAAAAACAAAAAUGAUUGUGUGCUCCUAAUUUAAAAAAAUUUUGAAUAUAAUUUUUUAGGAAUUUGUUUUUAUCGGAUGUGAGAUACAAUAAAGCCGAAAGCAUACUAGUUCGGUUAAGAUUUAUUGCCCCAAAUUAUUAUCAAGUAUUGAUGGCAAUAUUAUGGGAUCUUUUUUUUUUCCAAUUUUGAUGAAUUUACAGCCUUAGGUAGUAAAAUUUGUAGAGAUUUUCAUUGCAAAUUGUAAAUCAUUUUAUAAUUUGCAGUGAAAUCAUAAAGCAAGGGAAGGCCUGCAUUGGAACUGAAGCAAAAAGAAAAAUCAUGGCAAAAUCUAGAUUCAUGUUCUUGAAAAUAAUUUGAAGAUGGUAAAUAGUGAAUUUUGGCUCCAGUUUCAUCACUGGCAUGAUGAAACACGCACGGCUUCUAACUUAUGUCAAUUGUUUGAGCAGCCUUUUUAUGUAAAAUUGCAGCUUGAUCACGCUCACUGGACCCACUUGGGAUCCUCGGUGACAUGUUUUCUAUGCCAACCCAAUGCCACCUAUAAUAUUGUGCCAAGUGUCCUGUUAUUAUUUACACUUGUGUUAAACCAAACUAAGUUGAAUUAUUAAAAAAUUAAAGUGUAAAUAAUAAUGGGACACUUGGCGCAAUACUAUAGGUGGCAUUGAAUUGGCAUAGAAAAACAUGUCACCGAGGAUUUCAAGUGCACUGGACCAGGGGCUUCUUUCGUCACAAUGCUCGCUAAAUGCGAGCUGAGUUGCCUAGCCGAGAACCUCGCUUUGUUAAAUGCGAGGUAUAUGACCUCGCAUUUGACAAAUGCGAGGUCUGUUUUUCUUUUUCUUUUUUUUUUAUUUGGAUGCUAGGAAAAUUCAGGGAGACCUCGCAUUCAGCAAAUGCGAGCUCAAGAGCUCGCAUUUGCUGAAUGCGAAGACCCCUGAAGGGAAUCCCAUACAAAAAAUGCUCCCUUUGUAGAAUUUUUUUAAAAAUCAUCGUAAUUUUAGAAAUUUCUCCUGGAACAUGGGCUGCUGGGACAUUUGUACCAAUGGUACGUAAGCUUAGAGUAGAAUUGAACAGGAGAGGCUCCAUCUCCUUAAAUACUGGUACAAGGCGAAAGCUCAGUUACCAGGGCGAAUCCACAAUUCAGUGAACAUAGAGUAGAAUAGAAUCUGUAAUUAGUAGGCCGGUGGGAUCUUUUGAAGUGUAGUAGUAAUAUGGAUUCUUUGGCAGAAACAACCAAGAACCAAGUUGUACUAAAAGAAGAAGAAGAAGAGGAGGAGGAGCACUUCUCGUACGCCAUGCAGCUAGUUACCUCCGCAGGGCUGCCCAUGAUGUUGCUUGCUGCCAUCCGGCUCAAUGUGUUCGAGAUCAUCGCCAGAGCUGGUCCCGGUGCUCAACUGUCGCCUUCAGAAAUUGCGGCUAACGUGUCUUCAGAAAACCCAAAUGCCGCUGCUAUGCUGGAUCGGAUGUUGCGGCUCCUGGCAAGCUACUCUGUGCUCACCUGCUCCGUUGCCACCGACGUGGAUGGUGAUCAUGCUAUCCAAACGCCAACAAGAGUGUAUGGAUUGGCGCCGGUGGGCCAAGUUCUUUGUACAGAACAAAACAAAGGGAGGAGGUUCACUAAGCUCCUGCUGGCCUUGCUUCAAGAUAAGGUCUUCAUUGACGGUGAGAUUUUCACUUUUCUUUUAUCCUGUUUAAUAAAAACAAAAACUCCUAUAGUUGAGAUUACUCCUUUGUGGAUGCAUAGUGCCUGGUCCAAAAGCGAUUCACUACCCUAAGAAACUCCAUUGAGCCCUCUUUCUUUUAUUUUAAUUUUUAGAAAUGAAUAGAAAUGAACUUGUGGCAGGAAUUAUUACAGUCAUGAUUGGCCAAGAAAAAAAAAUGCACGGCUGAAAUUAUGACUUGGGAAUCAUUUUCAACAUUAUGUGUGGAUCCCACCAAAAUAUAUACUGAACUUACACCGUGUUUAAAAUGAUUAACAUUGUAAUCAAAUUCAUUUACAUCUUGUUGAAAUACACAUAACCGGUAAGGAACUGUUCCAGCCCCUAGUCCAUUAAAUAUUAUCAGUGUCUGGAAUAAAAAAAAAACAAAUCACUCCUUUGCUUCUAACUAUGCCUUAACCUACAAGUUGUAAUUCUACGAUGCACGUAGCCAUUUUGUUAGUGAUGGUCUUAAUUCCUCUGCAAAAGGAUUACUUUUAGUGAUUUUCUUCUAAAAUCGCCAAAACAGGAUCACUGGAUUUUGAUAGAACAACACAAGAUAGUGGACUUAAACGACUCAAAUCUCUACUUUGGAUGUAACACAUAAUUCCUUUGUGAAAUAUCAAAUCCAUAGACAAUUACACUUAAAGUAGCACUGACUACUCAAGCCAACAUUAAAGUAGCACUGAAUAAAUUUUGUUCAUAGUUUUCGUUGUGAGUACACGUGUGAACUCUAUGGAUGCUUUUCUUCCUUGCAUGUAUUUAAGAACAAUUCGGCUUGUAAAAAGGCCUCCAUAAAAUAUGCUUUUGGACCCAAAAUUUAGGUACCAAUUAGAAGAUGCAGUUCGCGAAGGGGGAGAUCCGUUUCACAGGGCGCAUGGUACACAUGCAUUUGAAUUUCUUGGAAGCGACCCCAGAUUCAAUGAGGUAUUCAACAAGACAAUGAUCCACCACACAGCUAUCGUCAUAAACAGAAUGCUUGAACGGUACAAAGGUUUUGAGCACCUCAAAACUUUGGUAGAUGUUGGUGGUGGUCUUGGAAUGAACCUCAAUAUAAUCACAACUAAAUACCCUAGCCUCAAGGGUAAUAAUUUUGAUUUGCCACAUGUUAUACAACAUGCACCAGCCUAUCCUGGUAUAAUUUUUGCUCUUCUCCAUUUGUUGCUCAGUUAUGUUUGCUCUUUUGCUUCAUUACCCUUUAAUUAACCAAUUCAAGAUAGCAUGUGAGAACAAAUAAAGAAACAGAUGCAGGCACUUCAAAAUAAUCUCAGUUAAAUUGCAAAACGAAUGAGUUAGUUUUGGGGAAGAAAGACACUUACCAUCAUGAGUUCUAUAAUUUUUUUUUUUGGAAUUAAAGAAGUUUCAAUAUGUUGUACGACACACUGUUAUACUUUAUUAUUUUUUUUGUCAAACAUCAUAAAUUCACUUCAUUUCAUGAACUUGAUAUUACAAGAUUGGAUACAUCAGAAUUUCUCCGUUUGUAAUCCUUUUGUGCACUCUCAUGGAGCCACAUGGGAAAACACUCUUCCCAUUCAACAUUUUUAGUUAGCUUUACCGCAAAUUUUGCUAAGCUAUGUGCACAGCUGUUUCCCGCUCUAUGAACAAAAGAGAAAGUACAUUGUUCAAACAAACAUCUCAUAUUUGCAAUGUCUUCAAGGACAGUAGCUAUCCUGGUAUGCUGGUCCUUUUCCUUGUUGAUCAUGUCCACUACCUCCUUGCAGUCAGACUGGAAUUCUACUUCCUUCCAGUUUGCAUCGUAAGUGACGUGCGCAGGGUAUACAUAUCAAUUUAACCUCAUUCUAAUCAAGUUUUACAUUUAUAAAUUCCUAAACACCCCACACGCGAUUUAUCGCAAGUAUACGAAUCGUGAGCGAGUAUAGGGUAUUAAGGGUCGAUCCCACAAGGAAGAUUGCAAUUACCGGUACUACUAAACCUUCUCUAUUAUUUAGGCUAUCAAUGAAUUAUAACAAAUUUUACCUACUCAAAUUAUACAAAAUAACAAAUAAAAGCUCCUUAGGUUGUGGUAUCCCUAACUACUCAUGCAAGUGCUACAUUUGGAUCAUUGAAUACUACAUUUAGGCUAGUUAUGGUGUAAUUUCCUUAAACAUGUGAAACCUACUUUCGUAGUGAAUCAACUAUACUCAUAACUAAUCCAUACCUAUUUUCAUGGUUAUGAAAUUAGCUACAAGUUCAUUUCUUCAAUGAAAUUACAUGAAAUGAAUCACUAAAAACCACAUAAGUGCACCUCUACUUUCGUGAGUGUACUCCCUAUGUUUAACACUUCUUGAACUAGUGUUAAAUCUCAAUUUUCAUUGCAGAAACAACACCUUAGAUAAUCACAAUUAAUGGUACCAGAUUAAUCAUGAUUUCAAGAGCCAAAGUGCUAAAUAACUUGCUCAAAUACUAGCAAUCAAAUAGCCAAAUAAUAAACACUAACAAUCAUAGAAAGUUCAACCAAACCCAAGGCUUAAACUUUAGAUACACAUAUUAAACACAAAAUCUAGCACUUGUAUAUUAACUAAACUUGGAAUCAAGUACAAAAGAUAAAGAGUUUGGAAGGAAUGUAACCCUUGUCACAUGAGUUCAUCUCCUUGCCUUCUUCAUCCUCCAUCUUCAUCUUUGCCUAGCUAAUAAACAAGAAUGGAUAACACUCUACUCUAUACUAACCUACUGCUACUACUCAGAAAAUGCAAGAGCUACAUCUCUGCACUCCAAGUUUUCUCCCGUAUGUCUCCUAUUUUUUUCUGCUAUGAACUCCAAUCUCCUUUUGCUCUAUCUCCUCUCUCCAUUUUGCAAUGAAUUUGGCUAUUUAAUGAUGAAAGGUGGUCAAGAAAUGAAGCUUUACACUUUCUCCUUACAGCUGGUAAUGUCUCUCACAUGUCUAGCAUCACAUGUGAGUUGGUGGAGGUGAAAUUGAGUUUUACGCGUAUAAAGCAGCCUUUUCUGACCAGUGAUCCGAGCUGCUACAGUGCCUCGGAUCCACUAACCCAGAAACAGCCGAGGGUUCGGAUGAAUAGUGGAUCCGAGUGUGGAUCACUUGCUCUGUUUUUGGCCCAACUUCAACCGAUCUUUUCUUGAUGUUAGAGGCUGAACCAGCUCAUGUGUAAAACACGAAAGUUGUAGCCUUUUGAGUUAUCUUUCCAAUGCAUCAAGAAUCACCUCAUUUGGAUCUGUGUAGGCUGAGAUAUGACUGAAAUACCCUUGCCUGCUCCAUGCCUUGUUCCAGUUUCGAUCAAUAGCAAUUGACUCUGUAUUUCGGCUUUUUUGACCUGGAAAACCUUCAAACUGGAUUCGGAUAUCUUCACCAAAGUUGUAGAUCUAUCUCUUGUCUUCAAAUGGGUUCAAGAAUCAUCCCAAUCCGAUCAUUGUGGCUUAAGUUAUAGCCGAAAUACGAAAAUGUAUCAAAACUGUCAAAAUACACAAAAUCCAAGUAAAAAGUGAUAAAAACCUCAUUUAAUUGAACAAAAGUAUUUUAUACCAAUUAUAGCCAAAAUGAAUUAUUUUCUUCCAAUAAUAUACCCAAAGUGACUAAAAAUAAUAUAAAAUAUCAUACAAUUAUUACGUAAAUUAGUCACUUAUCAGUAAGCCAUUUGCAUUCCCAUCCGAAUUGCUGCUGCUUCCUCCACUUGUGGCUCGCUAACUUUUAGUUCAGCUCUUGCCCAAGCUUUCAUCAGUUUUCCUUCUUCAUUCCUAGCCACAGCACUUAUGCCUGUUCUCUUCAUGUUUUGUGAGAAUGCAGCAUCAGAAUUUAUCUUUAUCUGUCCUCUUGAGGGUGGCUUCCAUGCCUCGCUGCUAUUUGAGCUUGUUGUUUGUUGAAUGAACUUUCCAUCUAAACUUUUUUGGGCUUCUCUAUACUCAUUCCAUUCUACCAUAGCUUUUUGUACUGACUUCCUUGGAUCUGCAUCUUUUUCAUCAAAAGCUUUCCUGUUCCUCGUCUUCCAUAUUUGCCAGAGGAUAUUUACAGUUAGCGCUAUAUGUUCCUUACCUUGUUCCCUCUUUUUUGUGCCUAAUAUCCCUUCCCACCAUCUUACAAAAUUGCUUCUCAUAUCCUUCAAACCAUCCCAUUGUAUUGGUGCUAGCUUCCAGGUGGUUUCAGUAGUGUUGCAAAAAAACAGCAUAUGUUCAAUUGUUUCCACCCCUUCCCCACAACUUCUACACAUUGGACUGCCUUUACCUGUUCUCCUGCUUAUUUGUUCAUUUACUGGUAGGCUAUGAUGUAAACACCUCCAGAUGAAAUGUUUUAGUUUGUGUUUCAUCUGUAAGGACCACACCCCUUUCCAGAUUUUUGAGCUCUGUUGGGCAUAGCUCGUUCCCCCUCUAUCCUCUUGCAUCCUUUCCUUGUGCUGUUGCUGACUUGUACUCAUUGCUACAUCAUAGGCUGACUUCACAGUGAACACGCCUGAAUUGGUGUAUCUCCAAUAUAGUAUAUCUUGGCAGCCUGUUAUACUUAGUGGUAUAGCCUUUAUCUUCUGGAUAUCCUCUUCUAUAAACCAACGAUUCAGAGUUCUUUGAUUCCAUUUUCCAUCUGUUAUCAGUUCAUCUACUUUCCUUAUGGUGCACUGUGGAUCUCUCCGAGUUUUUAUCCUGCCAUCAUCACUCCCUGGUACCCAAAUAUCCUGCCAAAUAUCGAUUGUUUUUCCAUUCCCUACUCUCUUCCCUAUCCCUUCUGUCAAUAGUUUCCUGCUUCCCAUUAUGCUUUUCCAGAUCCAAGAAGCUGCUCGAGGUGGAUCCUUGUUCCAGUUCUGUGGUUGUGCUAGAUACUUAGCCUUCAUCACCUUACUCACCAGCAAAUUUGGACUGGUGAGUAUUCUCCAUAGUUGCUUGGCUAAGAGAGCUUCAUUGAAUUUUUCCAAGUCUCUAAAACCCAAUCCCCCUCUACCUUUCACCUGAGACAUUUUUUUCCAGCUAGUCCAAUGUAUUUUCCUCUCUUUCUCUCCCCCAUUCCACCAGAACCUAGCUAUCAUCUGACUUAUAUCCUUACACAGCACUUUGGGAAGUUUGAAGCAUGACAUGGUACAUGUGGGAAGAGCCAUUACCACUGAUUUGAUAAGAGUCUCCCUUCCUGCUGGGCUUAACAGGUUUCUCUUCCAUCCUUGUAGCUUGUCUUUUACCUUUUGUUUGAUAUAGCCAAAAACCUCACUACAAGAAAAUUGUUCAUCAGUGACAACACAAAGUCAUCACAGAACAUACAAAUAUCGUCACAAAUACCUUUCAUUGACGACUUUUUGAUCGUCACAAAGUCGUCACUAAAUCCCCGUCGGUAAAAGUAAACAGUGACGACCUAAAAUGUCGUCACUAAAUAGUUGUCAUUAGUGACGACCUUAAGUAGAGCAUUUUUGACAAAAGGUCAAUUCGUCAAUAAAACACUUCCGGAUUGUCGUCACUAAUGACAACUAUUUAGUGACGACAUUGUCGUCACUAAAUAGUUGUCAUUAGUGACGACAAUCCGGAAGUGUUUUAUUGACGAAUUGACCUUUUGUCAAAAAUGCUCUACUUAAGGUCGUCACUAAAAAGCACCGAAAGCCAUUGUAUAUAACUAUUUUACUGACAACAAUUGUCGUCACAAAUGUAGCUUAGAUUUAGUGACAGUCUCUGUUGUGACAAAGAGUUUUUAUUUUCUAUUUUGUGACAACUUUUUUUUGUCAUUAGAUAAUUUCUCAUUAGUGACAGCCUCCAAAGGUUGUCACUGAGCUUUGUUUUGAAGAGUUGAAAUUAACCAUUAUGGAUAUAGCAUUGUCAUAGCAAUUUCAACAAAUUAUAGUAGAACAUUCAAUUUGACAAAAGGCAAAAUUCAUGUAGAAUGAAGCUACAAAUUCAUAUAUAUGGCCAUAAACAUUUGUGAAUUCAUCAAAAUAGAAGUUAACCAGAAAUGUUGUGUCCCAAAACCCACAUAAUCAAUUCAAGCACUAAUGGCCAAUAUGCAUCCUUCCCAAAAAAUAGAGUACUAGCUUUCUAAACUAAAGCAAAGAUUGCACCACCAAUGUCGGACUUCAACCAUCUCUAUCAUCAUAUCCAACAAUCUCCUCGUGAUCAAUAUCAAACUGGACUGCAUUGAGAAUAAAAUAUUAUAUGCAUUAGAAUAGACUUUAGUAAAAAAAAUAUGCUAUUACAACCUUACACAAGUUAUCUAAGUACAAGAAACAGUUAAAAAGUUGUGUAUUAUCUAAGUACAAGAAGUUAACAAGAAGUUUAGAUUAUAAGGACUAGAAACUGACAAUGAAUUGAGUUUCAUAUCCUCUACAUGCCAUUUUAAAUUAUUCACAAGCAUUAUAUUGUGAUAUUGGAUAUCUUCUUUAUUAAAAAACUUGUUCAAAUCACAUUAUGAGAACAUCUAACUUUUUGAUUAUCAAAGUAAUUGACUUCGAGGCCUGGAACAGCAAGUACUUUUGUCAGUGGACAAGGUUAGAUCAUAUUGGGUGAGUUUGCAUUGCUCCAUAGUUGAAGUGAUUUUACUUGAGUUCUGUCCACAAACUCUUUGGUUGUCACAAUGAAGUAAUCUCAAUUAGCCAAUACGGCAUAAAUAUCCACUUGUGAAAAUACAUAAGGAGUUCCUCAAAAAAUAGGUAAUUUUGGAAAUUUACUGAUUGUUGCUAAGUGUGGUUCCUAGCACAGAUCCACAGAUGUACUCUUAGUGCUAGCUAUGGUCCAUCCCAAAUUCGAUAAUCAGAAGCAACUCCAAUCUAUUACUUACUCACACAACCAUCUAACAAUCACAGGACUUCUGAUAGUCAUAAAAUAACUGAUGUUCUACUUCAUGUACUGGUCAUAUCACUUAUACCAAUAUCACCAAAUCCUUUAAGCAAACAAGAAAACAAAAACAGAUAACCAGCAUGAUAGCUGUUUUGAAGACAAAUUUAUAGUAACAAGGUCGGAAUUUGUUUACCUACUUGGAUGAAACAUCGUAUUCAUCUUCCCAACCAGUACAGGCCUUCUCUGAUGAAGAAAUCUUCCGAGACUUAUCCUUUAACUCUCUCUACGUGGCAUCUCCUUGGAAGAUGAAAGAACCAAUGAGGGAGCAAGAAGAGAGAAGAGAUUUGCAGCAGAUAAUGAGAAAUGUAUAUUGAUCUAGAAGGUUGCCAAAGAGAAAAUCAUUAUUGUCAAAUGACCAGGAUAAAUGUUUCUUGGUAUACCACUAGGAACAUGAUAAAAAAGAUACAAAGAUAAAUGUUCACAAGUAAAUCUUGGAAGCCCUUGGUAAGUGUCUUGGCAAGUCACAUAAUCAUACCUGACCUAAAAAAUAUCAUUUCAUUUUACUGGUCACAAACCCAUAGCAAGUUGAGAGGCCAAAAUGCCACACCUCAAUAUCGUAGCUCAGUGAAUCACACUUGCUUACGAUAUAUACUGCCCAAUAUGUAAUAGAAAGAGACCUCCCCAACAAGUGAAAAAAAGUAAUCAGACAUCAAGAAAAUUGAUUGCGAGUAAGUAUUUGGGGUCUGGAGAUUACAAAAAGGAGCUUACACAGUCAUUCAAACGUUACUUACACUCAUGAUAGCAACAGACUGGCUGUAUAUUUCAUGGCUAGAAACAGUAGCUAGUUUCAAGUACGAAUUGGUACAAAUGACCGUGAUAUCAUGGACCAAAAGGUUUAAAUUAAAAAAAUCUUAAAGGUAGUUAUGAGAAUUAGAACAAGUCGUGUAGGUGCAACUAAAGACAAAGGACUUGAUAAAUAGACAAAUAAAAAGAGAUGGCCAAAAAGGUUCUUUCUGGAAAGAUUACUGUAACUUUUUACAAUUAGCUGCAAUUUCAAAUUGGAAUGGUGAACUCCCUGCUACAUCUGCCUACUCUGCCUAUAAGCUGACAUUGACAUGAAUACUGAGCAAGUGAAAGAGAAACUGGACUUGGUUAUGAAAAUAAUAGGACCUAACGAUAAAGAGAUCAUAGCGAUGGCAAUUACUGCUAAAGCCAACCUAAAUCCCAACUUUACAAAAUAAAGAAAACCAAAGAAUUCAAUUCGCCAAGGAUUCGAGCAAGGAUAUUGAGACUGAGGUACAUAUCCUUUCAGAAUGCCCAAAAGCCUAAUGGUCGGACAAAUUUGUUAGCUCAGGAAGCUGCAAAUGAACAAGAUAUGCUCAAUUUACAAGAAUGGGUAAGUGUGAAUAUGAAGGAAAAGCUAGAGAUUAGGUCGGUGCUAUCUGUUUCCUUUCUUUUAAUUCUGGUAGCAAUUAACUGGGAAUGCUUUUGAAUACUCAUUUGCUUGGAUAGUUGGACCAUCAAACGUCAAAGCAGUAAUCCAUUCAUUAUAUUUCUCCUAACCAUUACUAGCAGGGGAAACUAGACUGCUAAAGCGUACACACAAAUAUGAUGAACUAGUAAAAUUCGUAUCAACAAACUAGAUUGCUCAACUAAUACCGGUAACUAGUGUUCAAAUUCAUAUGUCUAAAUAAUUCUAGCAAAAGGAAUUACCCUUGCUUGCACUGAUGAGGAAGAACCCAUCUGGAGUAAUUGGGCUGUAAAACAAAUCCACAACUGGACGAGAAUGACCAUGGCAAACAAGGGGAACAUCACCCUUUUCUUAUCCAUUACUUAACCGAUCCAGCGAAAAAGAAAAAAAAUGAAAGAAAAUUAUAACUUUUGGGAUCAGCAAUCAUAAAAGUACAAUUGGAAGUAGCAGACACAUGGGAUGAGAAAAAGUAAACUGCAAGUUUUCAUUUAAAACAACCGUUUAUAUCCAACUCCACAAAAGGAUGAAAAGCAACAAUCUUUCUUACUUUUACCAAAAAACCAAAUCAAGACUGAAGCGUUCACCUCUUAAAAAUAACUCAGAUUUCAGAUUUUAUGAAAAGCCAAAAUGGAUCAGCUCGUUCAUUAUUCUUAGCUAUAAGAAAUAGCACUUCCAAAGAGACCUGACGAAUUUGACCAAAUUUUGCUAGAACCCAAAUCAAGAUUCACAGCAUUCUAGCCAAAAAUCACUAACAAAGAAUCAAUUCAUGAAAAUCCAACAAAUCUAUAAGAGCAGAACAGAAGGGAUUCAAAACUUGUUGAUGCUUAAAUCAGAGACUAACAAGAUUGAACCUAAAAACUAAAUCUGACGAAACAGAGAAGGUGCAACUAGCCGUACCCACAAAAAAUAUAUACCAUGCAUUGCAAAAUCAGACACAUAAUAUUGAAAUUACCUCAAACUAUACCUUCAAUCCCUAACUUCUCAUUUUUCCCAAGCUUCAAGCUCUAAACUCCAGCUUUCACCCAAAUUUUCAAGCCCUAAUUUUUUAUUUCUUGCCACCAAGCCAGUGUAACAGCUGAAUUAGGUAUGUUGGUGGUGCGAACUUGAUAAAGUUGCCUAAAUUGAUGACAAUGGCAAACUUCAGUUCAUGAUGGAUUUGGUAGUGCGAGCUUGAAAGAGAGGAGUUCAUCUUCGGGGAAGUGAGAAGGACAAAGAGAAAGGGAAAAAGUGUCUGAAAUUUUGGCUAAGUGUUUUGGACAUAGAGUGCAUACUAGUGAAGCAAACGAUGUCGUUUCCUCAAAAUUCCUUUGUCCGCCAUGCCUCUUGAAUUUUUUAGUUUGCCGCUCUUUGUUUUGUACGUAUAAAUAACACACAUUCUUCCUAUAUAGAUGCAAGAAAAUCACACUUUGUUUGUCCUUACUCCUACCUCUCUCUUUUUUCUUUUUCUCAUCUUUAUGUAAUUAAGUUUUUUUAUUAUUUUUUUUACUCUCAAGUUGUAUUAAAAUAAUAGAAUAUGACAAUUUAGUGUGUUUGGGCAAAAUUUUUUUAACAUUUUUAACUAAUAUAGGACUUUUCUAAUUUAUUAUACAAUAAAAUAAUUUACAAACUAAAAAUGUUGUUAGAAAUAUGUUUAUGAUUUGAAAAAAAUAAACAUUCUUUUAUCAAAAUCUUUUUGGUACUCAUUUUAUGGUGUUAUCAAUUAUGUAUGACUUGUAAUCUAACAAACCAGAGAACCAAAUUAGUUGAUCGAACAAUCAAAAUAGUUUAUAUUCAGUUUUAUUGUUAAAUUCUACCAUUGACUACCUCUAUUUUUAGAUUAUCAUAAUUAUUUAUUUUCCACCAUGUUGCCAUCAAGAUAAAUAGGAAAUGUAUGAUUUUUUUUUAUAUUUAUAACAAAUUAUUGUUAAAUUGUUACAUUACUGCAAGUGAUAAAUGUACUUUUGUUCUUUUUCAAACAUUUAUUUUAAUGUUUAAUUUUGUUUAAAACUAUUGUACUAGUAUAGAUUUGCAAGACAAAACUUAAGUUCUCAAUAGUUAAAAAAUUCAUUACAGAGAAAACACAAAGUAGUAGUUGCAAAAUGUGUAUAAAUUACAGAUAUUUUAAUGUGUAUAAAUUACAGUUUAUUUUAAUGUUUAAUUUUGUUUGAAACUAUUUUACUAGUAUAGAUUUGCAAGACAUAGAUUUAUGGGUAAUUUCUUUUUUUUUUCCUUUCACAUAUUUAAUUUAUGUUAAAUACAAAACCUACCAGUUUCCCUUUCAUAAAAAUAUUAGUGCAACACUUUUUGAAUUUUACUUACAAACAUUUAUGUAUUUAACAUAAAUUAAAUGAUUCAGAGUGAAAUGCCCAUAAAGAGCAGAAUAUUUGUUCAUGUAAUGGAGGAAACCCACAAAGAGUUGGUACUUUAUGGGCCAUUUCUUUUUUUAAAAAAAUUUAAUUUAUGUUGAAAAGAUAACCUGCCAGUUUUCGUUUUGUAAGAAAUUAGUGUAACACUUUUUGAAUUUUACUUACAAACAUUUAUAAAUUUAUCAUAAAUUAUAUGUUUGAGAGUAAAAUGCCCAUAAAAAGUUGGUACUUUGAAUAGAUAAUGCUCAUUUGCCCAUAAACUACACUCCCUGAAGGCUAUUUUGUUAAUUACUUUGUAGUACUUUGUUAUUCCUUUGCUAAUACUACUUGGCAUGUAGUACAAAGGAUAAAUCUGGCAUAAAUUUCUUAUUCCAUUGAUAAAAGACCUGCCUGCCUUUAUAACUAUUGUAAUGAAAGAUAUAUCUUUAGAGUUUAUAAUAAAUUAUUACUUAAGUUUGAGAAAAUUAUAAAAUAUUUAUGCAUAGUUUAUCAAGAUACCAUUCGCAAUUUCCUAAUAAAAAAAUAGGGGCUAAAUUGUAAAAGCUAGGGUGCCAUAAUAGAAAUAAUAAAAUUGGUGUAUUACAUAUGGGGGUUAAAUAGCAAAAGUUAGAGUGCCAUAAUAGAAUUAAUGAAAUUGGUGAAUUACAUAUGGGGCUAAAUUACAAAAGUUAGGGAGUAAUAAUAGAAUUAAAGAAAUCGGUGUACUACAUAUGGGGCUAAAUUGUAAAAGUUAAGGUAUCAUAAUGGAAUUAAUGGAAUUUUUACAACAUUUGGGGCUAAAUCGCAAAAGUUAGGGUGGCACAGUAGAAUUAAUGAAAGUGACUUAGAAAUAAGUACUUUAAACAGUGACGAUUAAUUCUUGUCACUAAAUCCGAAUCGGUAGAGUGACAGUGACAAUAUUAGAAGUUGUCACUAUAUAGAUCAUUUUAGUGACAACGUUUUUCAAGGUCUCCUUGUCGUCACUAAGCAACCACGUUUUGUGACGACUUUUGUCGUCACUAGAAAAUGUUGUCACUAAUGACCAUAUUUCUUGCAGUGUAGUUUGUGACGAAAAUAACGGGUUGUCACUAAACAUUUAGUUGCUUUGAUGCAAUUGGGACAACUUUAGGUGUCGCGACUAAAGAAGCUCCUUUUGUGACGACUUAUUGUCAUCACUACAAAAUAUUGUCACUAAUAACUUUUUUUUUAGUGAUCAGUGACAAUAACAAAAAGUCGUCCGUAAAUAGGCCAAGCAAUAGUGAUGAUGUUCUUAAUGUCGUCACUAUUGUGUGUUCUAAACACUCCCGCGCUCUUGCUAAAUCUUGGCGCGAAUUUACUAGUGAUGACUUAGAAAAGUCGUCACAAAUGAGUUGGCUCCCAUUAGAGGUUUGUGACGAGUUAGAAAGUCGUCAAUAAAGGAUCCACUUUUGUGACAACUUUUUUUCGUCACAGAGAAAAGUUGUCACUGAUGACCAAUUUUCUUGUAGUGCCUGUUGUUUUGAUCUGCCUAUCAUCAUAGGGAGUCCUAAGUAUUUCCCACUUGCAGCUUCCUUCAUAUUUCCAAGCCCCGGACAUAUGGUCUUCCUCAAAUCUUUGUUUGUGUUUGCACUAAAGAACACAGCAGAAUUUUCAUAGUUGAUGACUUGUCCUGAAGCUCGUUCAUAUAUAGCAAACAUCCCUUUCAUUUGUUCAGCUUCCUGGAUACUAGCUUUACAGCAGAAUAGAGAGUCAUCAGCAAACAGUAAAUGAGACAGCAUUGGACAUUCCUUCCCUACUUUGACACCUGUUAGAGCUUUACUGUUUAGUCUCUGGUUCAUCAGGUUGGACAGCCCCUCAGCACAAAUAAGGAAUAAAUAAGGGGAAAGGGGAUCUCCUUGUCUAAUACCCCUGGAUGGUUUAACAUAUCCCACCUUUUGGCCAUUUACAUUAAAAGAGUAAGCAGCAGUUGUAACACAGUUGAGGAUCCAUUUUACCCAUAUGGGACAGAAUCCCAUUUUCAUCAUCAUCCUUCCUAGGAAAAGCCAUUCUACUCACGACACACUGUUAUACUGAAUCACAGGCUUCCACAAACUAUUGCUUGAAAAGAAGAAUUGUUUAUUCCAUAAUCCACUGCAUUAGAAUAGGAUUUUUUUUUUAAUCUGUAAUCCAUUACCUUCUACCCUUAAUAAAAAUUUGCAGGAGUUGAACAUGUUGGAGGAGACAUGUUUGAAAGUGUUCCACUGGGGGAUGCCAUUCUUAUGAAGGUAAGUUCAACUUUGAAGGAAAUCUUAUUAGAAGUCAGUCAGUCACAACAAAUGCUAUCUUUGAACAAUAUUCUGCAGAUCUUUUCAAUCUAAUUAUGUACAGUCCUUCUCUUUUGAACCAUAUUAUGCAGAUCUUCAGAGUCUAAUAAGUUACCCAACUUCUUAUUUGAGUUGCAUUUAUUUUUACCACUUUAAUCAAUGAACAUUUAGUUGUUAGGCAACAGACGCUUUAACUUUAAAGGUUACUUACACACAUGGUUCAAAGACUCGGUCGAGUCGUUACCGUCUCGGUCCCUCCUGAUACGAUAUCGGGACGAUACGAUUUUGAAAUACUUGACUCAUCGAGACGUCACCGCAAAGGGUUAAAACAGCCGAGUCAUCACUCCGAAUCAUCCCGAGUCAACUUGAAUUUUCAUUAUUUUUACUAAUUUUUUAAUUAUCUUUGUUUAUCAAAUUUUUUACAAUUUUUAGAAUAUUAAAUAUUUCAAAAAUGCGGAUCUCGCCGAGACCGCGACUGAUAUGUCGAGACCGAUGUGGAACUGUCCGGGCCGCGACCGCGACUUUGAACCACGCAUACAAAUUAUAUAACACUCUCUCUAACUUUAGCUAUACCAUAUGGAAUUUUAAAUAAUCAGGAAAGUAUCUACAGAUCAGGUGAAUACUUAUAGAUUAAGGGAUAGGAUAAUGACACAUUAGAAAUAUUAGUAGUUGAGAGUGAUCUAUAACUCUCAAGAUCAUAAAGUCUGUCAUCGUCUUAUGAUGCUUUGUAAAAGGAGUGCCUUUUGUCUGGAAUACUCACAGACAACAUCCAUCAAUACUUUUGUAAUGGAUACUUCAUGAUUGGGAUGAUGAUCAUGGCUUGAAGUUGCUGAAAAAUUGUUACAAGACUUUACCAGACAAUGGAAAGGUAAUAGCUGUUGACGCAAUUCUUCCUGUGAUUCCUGAUUAUAGUGCACGCGACAAAGCUACUUGCCAAACAGAUCUUAUAGUGGUGACUAAAGAAGGAAUUGAGAGAUAUGAAACAGAGUUUCUUGCCCUGGCUACUGCUGCUGGAUUUAAAGGCAUAAGUGUGAAAUGUUUCGUAUGUAACUUGUGGGUCAUGGAGUUCUAUAGUUCAUGGGGCAUUGUACUUUAAAACCUUAAAUGUUGUAUGUUGAGUGAUUGUUAAUGUCAUGGUGAUCAUCUGCAAUCUACAGCGAGGAAAAAAAACUGCAAUAGUGACCUCGUAAGAAUAAAUUUAAAUAUUGUUUUGUUUCCGAAGAUGAUAAUUAUGAUGGAGUUAAGGCAAGUAUGAUUUAGGUGUGGUUGGGUAUUGUUAUUUUACUUCAUCCAUGCCUUAGCAUACUCCAAAAGACAUGAAAAAAAGUUUUCUAAUACAACACAUUUACGUAAAAGUGCACUAUCCUACCUAUUAAAAGCGCCAAACGCUGAGGAACAGUAGAAGUGGCGUCCUCUGGUGUUCUGCCGGUUCUUUGGUGAUUUUGUGCAGUCUUAGGGGCAAUUUCGGCGGGAGGUUUCCCUUGCUGCCUGCUUCUUUCUUUUGUUUUUUUCCCAUCUCCCAUUUGGUGUUUCAACCUGGUGCUGCAUGUAGUUUUUUAAUGCUCCCAAGCCACAAUUUAUUUUGGUUUUGCCAUGAUGAGCCACAAUUUGUUCCUGUUUUGCCAUGGCUUGAGCCUAACAUUAAAAAAAAAAAAAAAAAUGGUGCCUGGUUUUGGACUGAUACUACCUUUUUUAGCCAUUAGGAAAAUAUAAAUUUAGAUUAACAUUUUAGUAUGAGUUCCGCUCCAAAUUUCUUCUAAAUUAGUCACCAAAAAGCCUGCUCCAAAUUUUGUCUACACUCCUAACCAAAAAAAAUUACAAAAGGUCCUUGUGUGGCCUCUUCUACAACACUUUUUGCACAAAUUCAAAACAAAUUUCAGUAUAAUUUUGUUCCAAAUUCAAUUGAAUAUUUUAAUACCAAUUUUGUUCGAAAUUCUUCUACAUUACUUGAAAAGGAAAAGAUGUAUGGUGAGCUUUGUCUACACUCCUGACCAACAAUAAAUUCAUAAAUAAAUAAAGGGUCCCUUUAGUGUCCACUUAUACAACACAUUUUGCAUGAAUUCAUUGCUACUACUUUUAUGCAUCAUUUAAUUACUUGCAUGAAAAAACAAAAAUUUAGUAUAAUUUUGUUCUAAGUGAAAAAAAAAUAAUACCAAUUUUGUUCAAAAUUUUUCUAUAUUACGAAAAAAGAAAAUGAAGUAUGGUCAGCUUUGAUUACUUGCAUACAUUUUAAAUAGUCAAAAAGUAAUAAUAGUAAUAGAUGAUUAAACAAACAACAUAUAAAGUCUUGGUAAAAAAUAAUGGUGAGCUUUAAUUACUUAUAUACAUUUUAAAUAGUGAAAAAAUAAUAAUAGCAAUAGAUGAUUAAACAAACAACAAAUAAAGCAAAAUUUAUUAUUUCCUGCCUGUUUCUCCAAGUUUUUCCCUUCCUUAAAUGGCUUUUUCCCUAACUAUUACUUUGUAUUAAUAAACAUAACGUAAAGAAAAAUUCUAGGAUAAAUUUUGUUCCAAAAUUUUCUAUAUUAGUGAAAGAUGCUUGCGAUUAAUGAACGUAAUCUAAUAAUCUAACAAAAAGAAUAAGGAUACAUUUGCUCCAAAUUCCUCUAUAUUAGCGAAAAAUUAGAAGCUUCCUUGAUUGGUUACUUAUUUAAUGCUCUUUGGAUAUAUUAACUAUUACUAUUUUUAUGCACCAUUUAUUUAUUUCUUCAUUGCUAAAAAAAUAAUAAUAAAGGGUCCCUUGAGUGGCCACUUAUAAAGCACUUUUUGCGAAAAUUAAAAAAAAAAUUAGUAUAAUGUUGUUCCAAAUUCAAUUGAAUAUUUUAAUACUAAUUUUGAAAUUCUUCUACAUUAUUGGAAAAGAAGAAGAUGUAUGUUGAGCUUUGUCUACAUUCCCGACCAAAAACAAAAUAAAUAAAUAAAGGGUCCUUUUAGUGUCCACUUAUAUAACAUUUUUUGCAGGAAUUCAUUGCUACUAUUUUUAUGCAUCAUUUAAUUAAUUGCAUGGAAAAAGUAAAAGUUUAGUAUAAUUUUGUUUCAGAUUCAAUUGAAUAUUUUAAUACCAAUUUAUUCCAAAUUUUUCUAUAUUGCUAAAAAGGAAAACGAAGUAUGGUGAGUUUCAAUUACUUGCGUACAUUUUAAAUAGUCAAAAAGUAAUAAUAGCAAUAGAUGAUUAAACAAACAACAUAUAAAGUUUUGGUAAAAAAUAAUGGUGAGCUUUAAUUACUUAUGUAUGUUUUAAAUAGCCAAAAAUAAUAAUAGCAAUAGAUGGUUAAACAAACAAUAUAUAAAGCAAAAUUUAUUAGUUCCUAUCUGUUUCUUUUAGUUUUUCCCAUCCUUAAAUGGCUUUUUCCAAACUAUUACUUUGUAUUAAUAAACAUAGCGUAACAAAAAUUCCAAAAUAAAUUUUGUUCCAAAUUUCUUAAUAUUAGUGAAAGAUGCUUGCCAUUAAUGAACAUAAUCUAAUAAUCCUGUUUUGCCAUGGCUUGAGCCUAAUACAUAUAUUAAAAAAACCUUGGUGCCUGGCUUUGGAUUGAUUUGACUUUUUUUAGCCAUUAGGAAAAUAUAAAUUUAGAUUAACAUUUUAGUAUGAGUUCCGUUCCAAAUUUCUUCUACAUUCCUCACCAAAAAAUCUGCUCCAAAAUUUGUCUACACUCCUUACCAAAAACAAAAUUAUAAAGGGUCAUUGUGUGGCCACAUAUAUAACACUUUUUGCACAAAUUCAAAAAAAAAUUUAGUAUAAUUUUGUUCCAAAUUCAAUUGAAUAUUUUAAUACCAAUUUUGUUCGAAAUUCUUGUACAUUACUGGAAAGGGAAAAGACGUAUGGUGAGCUUUGUCUACAUUCCUGACCAACAAUAAAUAAAUAAAUAAAUAAAGGGUCCCUUUAGUGUCCACUUAUAUAACAUUUUUUGCACGAAUUCAUUGCUACUACUAUUGUGCAUCAUUUAAUUACUUGCGUGAAAAACAAAAUUUUAGUAUACUUUUGUUCUAAGUUCAGUUGAAUAUUUUAAUACCAAUUUUGUUUAGAAUUUUUCUAUAGUACUGAAAAAGAAAAUGAAGUAUGGUGAGCUUUAAUUACUUGCAUACGUUUUAUAUACUCAAAAAGCAAUAAUAGUAAUAGAUGAUUAAACAAACAACAUAUAAAGUCUUGGUAAAAAAAUAAUGGUGAGCUUUAAUUAUUUAUGUACAUUUUAAAUAGCGAAAAAAUAAUAAUAGCAAUAGAUGAUUAAACAAACAAUGUAUAAAGAAUAAUUUAUUAUUUCCCACCUGUUUCUCUGAGUUUUUCCCCUCCAUAAAUGGCUUUUUUCCUAACUAUUACUUUGUAUUAAUAAACAUAGCGUAAAGAAAAAUUCUAGGAUAAAUUUUGUUCCAAAUUUUUUUAUAUUAGUGAAGAUGCUAGCUAUUAAUGAACAUUAGAAGCUUCCUUGAUUGGACACUUAUUUAAUGCUCUUUGGAUAUAUUAACUAUUACUAUUUUUAUGCACCAUUUAUUUAUUUCUUCAUUUUCAAAAAAUUAAUAAUAAAGGGUUCUUGAAUGGCCACUUAUAUAGCACUUUUUGCACAAAUUCAAAAAAAAAUUAGUAUAAUGUUGCUCCAAAUUCAAUUGAAUAUUUUAAUACCAAUUUUGUUUGAAAUUCUUCUACAUUACUGGAAAAGAAGAAGAGGUAUGGUGAGCUUUGUCUACAUUCCUGACCAAAAAUAAAUAAAUGAAUAAAGGGACCCUUUAGUGUCCACUUAUAUAACACUUUUGUAGAAAUUCAUUGCUACAGUUUUUACGCAUCAUUUAAUUACUUGUGUGAAAAAGCAAAAUUUUAGUAUAAUUUUGUUCCAAAUUCAAUUGAAUAUUUUAAUACCGAUUUUGUUCAAAAUUUUUCUAUAUUGCUGAAAAGAAAAUGAAGUAUGGUGAGCUUUAAUUACUUGCAUACAUUUUAAAUAGUCAAAAAGUAAUAAUAGCAAUAGAUGAUUAAGCAUACAACAUAUAAAGUCUUGGUAAACAAUAAUGGAGAGCUUUAAUUACUUGUGUACAUUUUAAAUAGCCAAAAAAAAAUAAUACCAAUAGAUGGUUAAACAAACAACAUAUAAAGCAAAAUUUCCUCCCAUUUCCUACCUAUUUCUUUGAGUUUUUCCCCCUCCUUAAAUUUCUUUUUUCUUAACUAUUACUUUGUAUUAAUAAACACAGCGUAACAAAAAAUUUCAGGAUAAAUGUUGUUCCAAAUUUCUCUAUUUUAGUGAAAGAUGAUUGCAUUAAUGAACAUAAUCUAAUAAUCUAACAAAAAAAUCAGGAUACAUUUUGCUUCAAAUUCCUCUAUAUUAGCGAAAAAAAAUAGAAGCUUCCUUGAUUGGACACUUAUUUAGUGCUCUUUUGAUACAUUAGCUAGUACUAUUUUAUGCACCAUUUAUUUAUUUCUUUGUUGCCAAAAAAUAAUUAUUCUAACUUUUUUUGUGUUAAAUGUGUUGAGCACCAAUUGUUUCAAUGAGUUUUAGAUAAUAGAAAAAGAAUGUUUAACAGUUGGAAAUGGCUACACAUAGAGAAUACAAGGCUGAAUUUAUUUUUACUUGCUUGCUUCUUUAAAAAGCUUUUUGCUUGAUAAAUUGUGUCCUAAUUACUCCCUCUGUUCCAUUUUGGUAGUAUUUUUUUGUACAUAGUUUAAGUAAAGCUGCUUAACUUUUAAAAGAAUAAAUCUAAUCUACUAUUUUCUUAAAAUACCAUUAAACCAAUAUCAGAAGUUUGACUAAUCACCAUACCUUUCUCCCUUUCUCUCUCAACAUCUCUCUCUCUCUUGCUUAUUUUGAAUUCUAGGGUUAGCCAUGGCUGCCCUUCAUCCUUCGGGUGAAGGGCAACCUAUACAUCCAUUACCAUCAAAAUAUUCCUUCACAGAUAUAGGGCCUGUUUGACAAAUAAAUUUUCGGCUAAGUUUGUCUGCUACAAAUUUUUUAAUAACUUUAGUUACAGUAAUUUCAAAAAACUUCUCAAAGUUUUUAAAAUACGUAUUUCAAACUAUCCAAAAUUUACACACUUCAAAAAAAAUUGUGAGUAAAAUUUUAAACAAACAAUCGAAAAACUCAUUUGCCAAACAGAACCAUAAUCUCCUUUUCUUCUCCUACCUUAACGCCAACUCCUUGUCUCAAACCUAGUGAACUUUACAGGGAGGAACCAACAUUAUCCUUUUCGGGGGAAGAUGUUCGGCUCCUCGCUGCUCCUUUCGAGUUUGUGCUCUUUGGAAAAUUUUCCAAAGGUCGGCCGUCCAUGGAAGGGCUCAGAAAAGAAUUCUUGGCUCUCGGCUUUAAGGGUCCUAUAUCCUUAGGACUUCUUGACCCUCAACACAUCUUAAUCAGAUUCGAGUUGGAAGAUGAUUUCGAUAGGUGUUGGCUUCAUGGAUUCUAGUCUUUUCAAGGAUUUGGCAUGAGGGUUUUUAAGUGGUCUCCAAUCUUUCGCUGGACAUGGAAUCGUCGAUUGUCCCAAUCUAGAUCCGGUUGUUGUGCCUUCUAGUACAUCUUUUUAACAAGGGACCCUUGUUUUCCCUAGCUAAAUUGGUCUGUGAACCCUUAAGGCUGGACGCAUCGACAACAAUGCUUGCUAGGCCGGCAGUGGCAAGGAUUUUUGUUGACAUGGAUCUACCAGGGCCCCUUCCUGAACGUGUUUGGAUCUGGAAUCUGUCCAAUGGUUUUUGGCAGCGAGUUGAGUACGAGAAUUUACAUGAUUAUUGUGUGAACUGUAAGAAACUUGGACACCAUAGUAGCGCUUGUAGACAAUUUUAGUAGUUCAAGGAAGCAACCUGAUAAUAAGGACGGGAAUAUUGGGGGGGGGGCGAUGGGACAACAGAAAUUUGGAUCCCAAAGGAUGGUCACAAUCACUCAGAGGAACGAAAUCACACUUUGUCAGAUAGCAACUAGCAUCUUCAAAUUUGGACAAUCAAUUGUGGAGGAGCAAACAAUGCUGAAGGACUUAGUCCCGGACAAUCAGUUGACACUUACGGUACAACAUAAUAGUCACAACCCUAGCUCGCAACAACCAACGAGUGACCAGCAAUCAAUGGAUUUGAAUCAUAGCCAGAGCGCUUCCAAAAAAUUAGUCUCAGUGGUGCAACGGCAGCACCAGACCAAAACCUUGGAAACUCCAAUGGAGCAACCACAGAAUAAAGUUGUGCACUAGCAGGUAAUUCCAUUGGAGCUGGGGCAGAAUGAAGUUUUGCAUCAGCAGGCAUCAACAGUGUUGUAGUGUGAGACAUUGUAGUAGCCAUUAGAACCACAAACAAAAUUGCUACCACAACUCCCCUUGAUAGAUCACAACACCUUCGCUAGCUCUAUUAUAGAUUACCGGAAGCUUUAUUCUAAAUGAAGAGGAAACCUAGACUCACUCUCGGAUGUUGAGGGACAGCAACAUCAAAGUAAACCUCGUGAAAUGCUGGUGGAGGACUUUAUUCAAUUCAAGAAAAAAAGUAGACCACCUCGUUCCAAUACCCCAGAAGAAGAUGCAAUUAGCCAAACGUGGGCGAUGAAGGCGAUUUUUAAACUUACCAAAGACUGUUGUAACCAGGCAAUUUUCAAAGGUAUCCACAGAAUCUUCCUCCCAAUUUUAAUUAUGACGAGUAUUUUCGUGUGGAAUAUAAGAGGCAUAUUUGGUCGUGCCUCUUCGCGUCGUUUAAAGAAGUUAAUAAGGUUACAUUCAGUGUCGUUUUUAGUAAUCUUAGAGCCUAUGGUUGAGCCGGAACAAUUAGAAGGUUUUACAGCCAAGUUUGGCUUCCAUCUUGGUGUUAGUAACUUUUCCAAUAAAAUAUGGGUCAUGUGGAAGACAGGUUUUGCAGUAGAUGUAGUAAUUAAUGCAGAUCAAUUUAUUCAUUUGGCUAUUGCUCAGGAGUCAUGGAUUUUGUUUCUUAUUGUUCCUUUAUAUAUGCUAAAUGUUCACAAAUUGAAAAAAGAUCUUUAUCGUCGGACUUAGUUUCUUUGUCGGGUGGCUUGGUUUCUAAGCCGUGGCUGAUAGGUGGUGACUUUAAUGUUGCUGUGUCCAUUGAUGAAUACUUGGGCCGAGCACUACAGAACUUGAAUGCAAUGGUGAAAUUUGCUGAUUGUAUUUCAAUCUAUGGUCUGAAACAUAUUACUUUGUCUGAAAGUUGUUACACUUGGACUGGCGUUCGUCAUGGUAGGCGAGUGUGGAAGAGAUUGGAUAAGUUCCUAAUAAAUCUAGAAUGGCAGCGCCUCUUUCUUAACUCAAAAGUACAACACCUUAAUCGUGUAACUUCAGAUCAAGUCCAUUAUUGUUGUAACUCCAGCCAUGCUUGAGCUUGGGAACGCGAUCAUUUAGGUUUCAAUAUAUGUGGGUUAAUAACCACAGCUUUCUCACUGUGGUUCGAAGCAGUUGGGAUCAGCCAGCUUUAGGCUACGGUAUGGCGAGGUUUGUCAUAAAAUUGAAGAGACUUAAGUAGGUUUUGUGUGAAUGGAAUAAGGUGUCCUUUAGGAACAUUUUUGAUAACAUAGCUAAAGCUCAAGAAGAAGUUAAACAAAAGGAAUUACAACUAGAAGAAGAGGAAAUAGAAGCAAUGCAUCUGCAAUGGAGUCAGGCAAAUGCUGCUCUGCUAAAGCAUUUGGCGGCCAAAGAAGUUUCUUGGAAAUAGAAAGCUAGAGUAAGGUGGUUAAAAGACGGUGAUUUGAACACAAGAUAUUUUCACUCUGCACUUUUAGAUAAGUGAGUUUGGCUUUCUAUGUAGAAAAUUAAAAGCUUGGAGGAGGUCUAUAUUGAGGGAGAUGACAACAUUGGUGCAUCGGCUGUGGAUUUCUUCAAGUCCUUGUUAGCAGAUUCUUCAUUGUUAAACAGACAGGCAACCUUGGAGCUAUGAAACAAUGUUCCUGCCCUGUAACACCUCUACAGAAUGACCAACUGAUAGAGGAAGUCACUCUAGAGGAAGUUGAAAGGGCAGUGUUUGAAUUGGAUGGGCAAAGUGUAGCUGACAGCGAUGGAUUUGCGGGUUGCUUUUAUACUCAUUGUUGGGAGAUCAUUGCAGAAGAUGUCUUCUGAGCUGUUCGAGAAUUCAUGUGUGGAGUUCCACUACCUAAGGGUAUUGCAAGUACUCUGGUGGUAUUAAUUCCAAAGAAGGAGGUGCCUACGACAUUUGAAGACUUCAGGCCAAUUAGUCUUUGUACCUUUAUCAAUAAGGUCUUCACUAAAAUUCUUAGUAAUUGAAUUAAAAUCGUUCUUCCCACUCUCAUCUCACUAGAACAAUUCAAUUUUGUUAGUGGAAGAGAGAUCUCAGAUAGUAUCUUACUUGCACAGGAGAUGGUUAACUCAAUUGAUAAAAAGGUCAGGGGGCACAAUGUAAUACUCAAGGUUGAUAUGAUAAAGGCAUUUGAUCGUGUCUCAUGGCGUUUUUUGUCCCAAUUGUUGGGCUAUUUUGGCUUCCAUCCUUAUUUUUUCUCUCUGGUUAUGAAUAGCCUCUCUUCCACCUGGUUUUCAAUCCUUGUCAACAGGAAGCCAUAUGGAUUUUUCCAAACAAGUCAUUGAAACAAAGGGAUCACCUUUCUCCUUUUCUUUUUAUAUGGUGUUAGAGGCGCUUAGUAGAGGCUUGAAGAGCUUAAUCUUGAUGGGAACGGUGCAACCAUAUGCUUUUGGCUGUGGCUGCAUGCCAGUGUCACACCUAGCAUUUACGGAUGAUGUUGUAAUUUUUUCAAGAGGAGACCGUCGUUCGGUUAGCUAGGAAACGACUAAUGGCUCGGUAGACGGGUUUCAGUAGAUGGAUCUCCCCUUUGUUGAUUAGGAGCAAGCUUUUCAAAGGUAAAGGUAAGAAAGAACACUUUCAGCAGUUAGUUGAGAAGAUGAGACAAAAGUUGGCGGGCUGGAAGAACAAGUUGCUGUCAGCUGGUGGCCAGAUAAUUUUAAUCAAACAUGUUCUGACUGCUAUACCAUUAUAUGCUUUUACAGUUUUACAGCCACCUAAGAGUGUGUUGGGCUAGUUGGAGAGGAUUAUGUCCUCUUUUUUCUGGGGGGAAGCAGAUGGACUGGAUAAAAGACAUCGGAUUAAAUGGAGAAAUCUGUGCAAGCCAACACAGGAAAAUGGUUUGGGGUUGUGCCAACUGGAAGACAGUGUGAACGCUUUUGGGUGCAAACUAUGGUGGAAGUUGCGGUCUACUGAAACUUUAUUAGCUCGGUUCAUUCACUCUAAAUAUGCUAUUGCUGAGAAGGUUUGUCACAGGUCCGAGGUUUGGUGGAAGAAAACUUGCAAGUAUUAAUAAGGGAUGGUAGCUUCUCAUUCUGGUACGAUAAUUGGUUUGGCUCCGGUCCUCUUGCUAGCCAAAAGGUUCAAGUGCCAUUGCCAAAUGUUCGUGUUCGAGAUUUGUUGCAAGAUAACGACUGGAACUUAGGCCAAGUAGAGUUGGUUCUCACACAUGAAGAAAAAAAUGCAGAAUUUACGGUCUCAUACGUAGCUCUCCUAGGGUAAGGAUCUGAUGGUCUAGUGUCCAUCUGCAAAUGGUACGCUUUAGGUAUCCUUAGCAAUGGAAAUGCUUCAGCAACCUUCAAGCUCAAUGAUAUGCAGGAGGAUGAGCAGGCGAAUGCCAUCAAAGGUAUCGGUCUUUAUGUAGAGACUGAUUAAUUUCAUCCUGCCAUUUCCAGAUAUCCUACAACAAUUUGGUUUUAAUCUCCCCUCGAAGUUUGCAUUCUGUGAUAAUUAGGACAAUUUCGCCCACUGCUUACUUGGAUGUUGAUAAGUGACUAAUUUACGUAAUAAUUGUAUGACAUUUUAUAUUAUUUUUAGUCACUUUGGUUAUAUUAUUGGAAGAAUAUGAAUCAUUUUGGCUAUAAUUGGUGAUAAAUGCUUUUAAGUGAUUAAAUGAGGUUUUUAUCACUUUUUACUUGGAUUUUGUGUAUUUUGACAGUUUUGACACAUUUUCGUAUUUCGGCUAUAACUUGAGUUACAAUGAUCGGAUUGGGAUGAUUCUUGAAACCAUUUGAAGAUAAGAGAUAGGUCUACAACUUUGGUGAAGACAUCCGAAUCCAGUUUGAAGGUUUUCAAAAUCAAAAAGCCGAAUUACAUUAGCUAAUUUCUGUUGGUCGAAGCUGAAACAGGGCAAUGAGCAGACAAGGGUAUUUCAGUCAUAUCUCAGCCUACAUAGAUCCAAAUGAGGUGAUUCUUGAUGCAUUGGAAAGAUAACUCAAAAGGCUACAACUUUCGUGUUUUACACAUGAGCUGGUUCAGCCUCUAACAUCAAGAAAAGAUCGGUUGAAGUUGGGCCAAAAACAGAGCAAGUGAUCCACACUCGGAUCCACUAUUCAUCCGAACCCUCGGCUGUUUCUGGGUUAGUGGAUCCGAGCUCGGAUCCAUACGGAUCCGAGGCACUGUAGCAGCUCGGAUCACUGGUCAGAAAAGACUGCUUUAUACGCGUAAAACUCAAUUUCACCUCCACCAACUCACAUGUGAUGCUAGACAUGUGAGAGACAUUACCAGCUGUAAGGAGAAAGUGUAAAGCUUCAUUUCUUGACCACCUUUCAUCAUUAAAUAGCCAAAUUCAUUGCAAAAUGAAAAAAAGGGGAUGAUAGAGUAAGAGAUAGAGAGACAUACGGGAGAAGCUUGGAGUCUGCAGAAAUGUAGCUCUUUCAUCUUCCUAGUAUUAGUUUAGCUUAGUAUAGAGUAGUAUAGUUCAACCAUUCUUGUUUAUUAUCUAGAUUAGGAUGAAGAUGGAGGAUGAAGAAGGCAAGGAAGAAAGCUCAUGUGACAAGGGUUGUAUUCCUUCCAAACUCUUUAUCUUUUGUAUUUGAUUCCAAGUUUAGUUAAUAUACAAGUUCUGGAUUUUGUGUUCAUUAUGUGUUUCUAAAGUUUAUACCUUGGGUUUGGUUGAACUUUCUAUAAUUGUUAGUGUUUAUUAUUUGGUUAUUUGACUGCUAUGAUUUGAGCAAGUUAUUUAGCACUUUGGCUCUUUAAAUCAUGAUUAAUCUGGUACCAUUGAUUGUGAUUAUCUAAGGUGUUGUUUCUGCAAUGAAAAUUGAGAUUUAACACUAGUUCAAGAGGUGCUAAACAUAGGGAGUACACUCACGAAAGUAGAGGUGCACUUAUGUGGUUUUUAGUGAUUCAUUUCAUGUAAUUUCAUUGAAGAAAUGAACUUGUAGCUAAUUUCAUAACCAUGAAAAUAGGUAUGGAUUAGUUAUGAGUAUAGUUGAUUCACUACGAAAGUAGGUUUCACAUGUUUAAGGAAAUUACACCAUAACUAGCCUAAAUGUAGUAUUCAAUGAUCCAAAUGUAGCACUUGCAUGAGUAGUUAGGGAUACCACAACCUAAGGAGCUUUUAUUUGUUAUUUUGUAUAAUUUCAGUAGGUUAAAUUUCUUAUAAUUCAUUGAUAGUCUAAAUAAUACAGAAGCUUUAGUAAUACCGGUAAUUGUUCACUCUUCCCUGUGGGAUCGACCCGAUAUAUACCCUAAACUACUAGUUGACCUGUAUACUUGCAGUGAACGGGUGUAAUUCGGUUUUUUAACUUGUACGUAUGUAAAAUACCCGUCAGAUGUCAACUGGCAGUGCAGGUGUGGAAGAGAAUAGAGUAGAAAUUGGGUAUGAAAGUACCACCAUCAAAGGAUAUUAUGCUUCAUUUGCAGAAUUGGUGGAUGCACUCUUUGGGGAGGUCAACAAUGGCCAAGCUGACACAGAUAAUCCCCUUGUUAAUCUGCUGGGAGCUGUGGAAAGCAAGGAACAAAGCCAUUUUUUAUGAUUAUAAAAUGAUAGUUGGUCAAGUCUUUCAUCAUGUGCUUGAGUUGUUACAUUUUAUUUCCUUGGCUCACCUCUUUGUCUUGGAAAAUUGCAGCGGAAAGGGUCUUCAGCAGCUGGGGUUGUAGCUUUCCUUCACAGUUUCUAAACCAAAAAAUGCUUAACUCUAGUUUGGUCCUUGCCAUCACACCCUCAUGCAAAACUAAAUAUAGACGGCUCGUUGCUAGGGAGUCUGGGAGACUUGAGGGAGAUAACAUCACUCGUUGGCGUCCCUCCCCGUGUGCAAGGCUUUGCCGGUUAAAACAAAAACAUUAAUUACAAUAACACUACUAUAAAAAUUAUACUAUUCAAACUAUGAAUCUAAGCAAUUAAUGAAUAAAGUAGAUUAUACUCAUUGAUAAUAAGUACAUUAAAUAAAAUAUUCUUAGAGAAAUUAAAAUUUAAUUAAUUUUUAAUUGAAAAGUGGGUCCUAGGUUGGGCUUAGGAAUGAGCUAAUAAACGAGCUCCUUAGUAGCAAAUAUCAUUGGUUCGAUGUUUCGGAUGAAACCAAUUCACUAAUAAAAAGCAUUUUCUAAGUGAAGAUCUGCGCGAAUUGAAGUGAGACUAUAUUUUAAAAUGAAUGAAAAACAGACUAUUAAAAUGGGACAAAUAGAUUACUUUGUAUUGAUAUUAAUAAAUGAAUGGUGUAAUAAAAGAUUCCAUGAAUUUUGUUCCAAAUUUAUAAAUUUUGUUCCACAUAUUUCUAUUUAUAUUAAAAGAAAAAUAAAAUGGCCUCUUGAUUAGACCUUGACAUAAUUGAUAUGUACUAACUGACGUAAACAAUUGCUAAAAUAACAAAACUCUGUUAGAAUAUUAAACAGAGUUUGUUAUAGUGAGUUAUAAUUUGUUUAAAAGGUUGUACACUAUUCAAGCUCUCCCUUAUCAAUAGCCAUUCCGCAUUUGUUCUUGGCCAUUCUCAAUACCUUUUUUUUUUAAAAAAAAAUUUAUGGAGGAGGAGAGCGGGAUAGUACAACGUCUCUGCAACUGUGUUUUUAAACUUGUACUCAAUAGUCCAGUCUGACUAGUCGAACCAAAAACUAGCUAGGCUUCCUAUUCGUGUCUCUUUUAAAAAUUGCACCUCAAAAACUCUGUAAAUCCCAAUUUUACUAAUCUUGUCAUUUUUUCUAUAUUUUUUUCAUUACUAAUUUCUUUUUUUUUUCUUGUAUUUUCUUCAUCUCUAAAGCCUAAUUUCAUCUCUCCAACAAUCAGGUGAUAACAUAUGCAAAAUCACGAGGGAAAAGUUUCAAGAAAAUAGCAAGAAAGAAAAUGGGAAAAUAUAUUUAUAAAUCUAUGCAUUGCUAUCUUUUUUUUUUUUUUUGGCAAGAGAAAGUUGCUUUUAUUGAUCUGUACAAUAUAACCUUACAAAGGGAUAAACCUCCUACAUCAACAAAACUUCUAGUGCAAUAUCAGCACUGUACAGAAUAGGUAGAAAAGCUAACAACAUUAAAAGCUAAACCUAUUAAUCAAUCUUAGUCCAAACCCCUCUCAAGCAUCAAUUGCCAAUUAGUCUUAGUCCUUGGGGCUUUGGAUCAAGAAAGCGCAGACAGCCAAAUCACUCUAGUAAUAUUCUCCAUAAAUUUCAAUGUUCCUACAGAUAAAUGCUGAAAUACCCUCUUGUUUCUUUCUUGCCAUAUAUGCCAAACAGUGGUUGCAAAAACAUGAGGCCUGAUUUUAGACACAAAGGAGCUUGAGCUAGCAUGUUGAGACCAUCACGUUACUUCUUCAUCCCAUGGUAAAGAGCAUCUAUAUACCAAACAAAGUCUCUGUAGUUUUUCCAAUAUGCAACCAGAAAAAGUCCAUUGGAAGAAUAGAUGCUCAAUCGUCUCAUUUUCUUGAUUGCACAGAACACAAAUUGGAGAGACAUUUGCUACUCCCCAUCUAGCAAGUCUACCCUUAGAAGUUUAUGUUGUACUGCUAACCACAGUACAAAUGCAAAUUUUGGUAUAUGGACACUCCCCCAGAUAAGCUUGAAUCAAGAUACCUUAGUUCCUGUGUGAAACAAUUUUUCCAUAGUAGACUUAACAUAAAGUACUCCAUUUGCUAUUGCUGUCCACCUUACGCAGUCCUGCAUUUGGUAUUGCAGUAAGAUUGGAGCACAGUCUUUAAGCUCUCGCACCUUAGCAUUAAAACGUCUUCCAAUAGCCCAGAUCUAUUCACUAUUGAUAAUCAAAUCAGCCACUUUUAGAUAGCUUAGAUAGCUUUAGGUCUCUAAGCAAAGAUUCAGGAAAUUUCAGGUAGAGGGGUCCCAAAGAGAGCCAAUUAUCAAACCAGAAAGGAGUGCCCUUUCCAGCGCCAAUAUCAACACUGAUCAGAAGCUUAGCAGUGUUUCUGAUUUUAAGAAUCUUCCUCCAAAUCGAGGAACAUUCAGUAGGUAUUUUGAUUUCCCAGAGGCUACAUUUAUUCAGCUUAACCGAGUGGAUCCACCUCACCCAUAAAGUGUCUUUUCUUUUUGUACAUAUAUUCGAAAUCAAUUUCAGCAUCAAACAGGUAUUACACUGAACAAUAUUUCUAAUCCCCAAACCUGCUUCUUCCUUUGGUCUACAAACAUCUAACCACUGAUCGACAAAUUCUUGCAAGCGUCUAGGGUCAAUCGUAGUAAUAAUUUACCUGAAAUAUUUCAAGGUCGAACCCACAUAAACGAGUUAAUUUUCUACUUUAAUUAUUCUAACAAAAUAACAAAAUUCAAAUUUAAGAAGUGUAUUUUCUACUUAAGCAAUAAAAGAAAAAAAUCAAUUUAAAUAAAGUAGUGGUGAGAAAACAAUAGACGUGAGUGUAGGGUUUCAUUUUUUAAUUCAAAAUUUGAAUCAAUUAACUAGUUAAUUUCUUACCAAGUUAUGAAUGCAUCACAUAUCUAUAUUUUAGACCAGCUCUCGAUGCAUCUAAAGUAUGUUUAAUUAAAUCCUAUGCCUCUCUUGAUGGUCAUAGGAUUUCAAUUAAACCCAUUAAAAUUCUCAGUGAUAUAGGUGCAUCACACAUACUCUAACCUACUCUCGUGAUUAGUCUAUGUGUAUUUAUCUAUCUAGCGCACGGUUGUAUCUCCUUUCUCAAGUUGACACAAACCCAACAUUCAUGUUCAUGGUGAUCAUGCAUUAAGAGCAAGAUAAAUAAAUCAUAGUAAAAAGCAAGAAAUUAAACUAGAAAAAUUAAUCAAAUUCCUUUAUUAAAACCCUAACCCUAGAAACAAUUUAUUUCAACAUGAUUUAGAAGUUAAAACCACGAAUUUAAAAAGUUGCUACAAAGAUAAGAGAAAGAGUAAGAAAACUUUUCAAUUGUUUGCUCCAAUCUUCUCCUUGCGUGCUCCUUGAUUCGCCUCCGUUUGAUCUUGAUCUCUCAAGAAUAAAUUAUGAAAAGAUGUUAAAACUAGACUAGACUAAUGUUUUCCACCUAAAAACCCCUAUUUAUAGCUUCUUGAAGAUAUAUCCUAAAUAGGGUAGGAAUAGGUUCAAUUGGAUUCAAAAAAUCAUGUUUUCGCACAUUUAUCCAAUGAAGACCAGCCCAAUAUCCGGUGCCUGUCAUUAGAUUGAGCACAAAGCAUAAAAGGAUCUAGAGAUGUUCGGCGUCAAGCCAUUUGCGAAGUCUAGCACCGAUCAUGGAUUCAACCACGGAUCAGUACGGAUCCACAUGAGGAUCACUUUGAAACCUCAAAACACCAUCAAAUAGGCCAAAUUAGUUCUUGCUCAAAAGACAAAAUUGUAAACCUUUAAUAAGCUUUCUAACGCCACAAGAAUCAUGUCAUUUGGAGAUCUGGACGCUAAGAUAUGCCUAAAAAACUAAUACCUGGUCAUAAGAGCAUUGCAGCACAAUUGUACUUCAGUAAUUUGGACUUUUGACUGUGAAAAUGUGAGAACCAAACUUUGAGGUCUUCAUAAAAGUUGUAGAGAAUUCUCUUAACUUAAAAUUAAAUCAAGAAUCAUCUUAAUCUGAUUUCUGUUACUCAAGUUAUCACCAAAAUACUGAAAUAUGUCAUUCCUACGAAACCUCUUUCCCUUGACUUUUUCCUCUUUCAUUGCUAAUUCACACCAUGUUUUUAGUCCAUUUUCUCUCUAAUUGAACUUUACACCUAUUAGAAUAAUAUAAGAGCAAAAUUAAGUAGUUUCUACUCAAAAUAAAGCUCAAAUAACAUGGUUAUCUAGCAACUUAUGCAUUUAAAUGUACUACAAUUUAUACCCUAGCAAAUUCUCCUGCACUUAGUCUGUGCUUGUUCUCAAGGACAAGAAUAAAGCGAAUUAAAUAUAAAUAAUGGCUAUAUUCAAGGUUAUCAUUAUUAAAGCAACCAUUCUAUGCAAGUGUCAAGUACUAAUAGUAAAAACUAAAGAGACACUUCUUCGGUUAGCUUGAGACACUUCUUCGGUUAGCUUUUAACACCAUCGACCCUUUCAACUCCGGCUAACUAAAUUAGGAAUAAAUAUAUUUAACAAGCAUUUCCUUGCAAAUGGCCCAAGUAUUAAGCAAAAUAUUAAACUUAUAGCCAUAUGGAUCCACAUGCUAAUCUUAUUAUCCACAUAUUUUUGUUUCUUUCUUUUCAUAUUUUUCUCUUUAUUUUUCUUCAAAUUCCCCCACACUUAAGCUUUUUCACAUUUUAACAAGAGGAAUACACUUAAUUAUUAGCCGUUUAAGCCUUUUGACGCGAAUUCUAACAUCUCCCAAAUAGAAUAGCCUGGUUACUUAGCUUACACCGCUAAAGAAUCACAUACUCAUAACAAUCAUCACUUUUUGAUGUAAAAGCCAACACUUUUAGGCGAAGAUUCCCAGUUAUUGGGCAACGACAACCAGCGGAGUGCAGACAAAUUAAUAAAAUAAACAUUUAAAUACAAAUAAGGACACAAAAAUCUGCUUCAUAUCCCAAUAAUAUGGAGAACAAAGAUUAAUAAUUAGGCCAAAUUCACAAGAAAAAUGCUAGAAAAACAUUUACAAUACCUAGAAAAAUUAGCCAAAAAUUGAAAAGGUCAAAAACUAUCAAAUAUUCAUCAAAGAAGUACUCUAAAGCAACACCAUGUGACACUUAAUACAUUCAUACACAUAUCACUUUAACAAUAAUAAUACUCAAAAUAUAAGCCAUUGCCUAUCAGGGAAUCAACAAUAAAAAUUCGAAAAUUUUAGCCCAAAAUUUUAAAAAUUUCACUUCACCCAUUUAUUCCUUCCCCCACAUUUAAGACAACAUUAUCCUCAAUGUUGGGGAUAAAACAAAGAAAUAAUAACAAGAAAAGAGAUGAAAGUGAAACUUCCCUGAUAACGAAUGGUGUGCCAAAGACCAAAUGGGGUGAGAGAAAUUACUAAUUACCAUCCAAUAGUCAAGCUCAGGAAGCCAUCCUACCAAGCUAUAAAAAGACAAGAAAACACUACAAAUAAGAGUUAAAUACUACACCAAAUAACUCAAACUAGAAAGCAAUAAAAUUUUAAGGAAAUAAACACCACCAUUAAUGUUAAACAAAAGAAAAAUAUUAAAUAAAAUUAAAAGGAAAAUCGGGCUGCCUCCCGAGAAGCGGUAAGUUUAACGUCUUCUGCCAGAUAGGGUCACAUAUGAUUGUGGUGGAUAAAAUGAUUCGGAUGAUUUCACAGUUUCCUUAGCAUGUGCUUGCAAUUUUGCAUAAUUUUUUUGCAUCUCCAUUGCGCUUUCAAACAAUUAAAGAAGAAUAUGCACGAUGAUUUUGCAAGGGGAUGACCUUUACUUCCUGCUCUAAUACAUAUUUUUCACUAUACAAAUCAUUAGAAAUAGCAAUAUAGGAACAAAACUCCUCGUACGAAGGCUAUUAUAAGAGUUCAAAGACAUUAAAUUCUUCUUUCUCUUUACCAAUACUUAAAAUCAAUUUUCCUUCAAGUAAGUCUAUAUUAGCCUCUUCUGUAGCUAAAACCCCUCUACCAAGGAUAAUUGGCAUACAAAUAUCCUCCUCCAUGUCAAGAACAAGAAGAUCAGUAGGAAAAUAAAAUUUACCGACUUUAACUAAUAGAUCAUCAACAAUACCAAUAGGAUAAUACACUGAACGAUCAGCCAGUUGUAGAAUCACUUGAAUAGGCCCCAAAUUGGCAAACUUUAAUUUCCUGAAAAAUGAUAGAGAUAUCAAAUUAACACUAUAUCCACGGUCACACAAACAUUUAUCAACAAUAAUAUGUUCAAAUUGACAAGGUACAUUAAAACUCUCUGGAUCUUUCAUUUUGAUAGGAAAACCAUUUUGUGGCACUGCACUGCAUUCCUCAGUAAGAGACACCUCUGCAAAGUCUUCUAACUUCUUUUUAUUAGACACUAUCUCUUUCAAGAACUUUGCACAAGCAGGUAUAUCAGCAAGAAUUUCAAAAAAAAACAUGUUCACUUGAAGUUUCUUGAGCAACUCCACAAACUUUUGAUAUUGCUCGUCCAUUGCCUUUUUCUUAAGCCUUUGGAGAAAAGGGAUGGGUGGCACAUAAGCUUUCACCUCAAGCACCUUCAUAUGUUGAUUAUCUUACCCUUGAUUUUUUCACGUGAACCAUUCCCCGAAUCCCCAGUUUCUUCACUUUUAAUAGCAAUUCCGCUCCUCCUUUGCUUUGCACUUGGUUUAGUCUUGGAUUUAAUGACAAGAUCAUCCAAUACUUUGCCUGAACGAAGAGUCACAGCUAUACUAGUUUCUUUUGGGUUCACCUCAAUGCUACUAGGCAAUUUCCCUGGUGCCGUUUCAAUUACUACAUUUACUAGUUGACCAACUUGCCUUUUAAGAUUUUGAAUGGAGGCUUGUUGAGAUUGAGCAAGUUUGUCAAACUGGUCCAUCUUUUGGUCCACCUUUUGCAUGUAUUGUAGCAUCAUUUCUUCAAGGUUGGACUUUUUCUCCUAAGUAGGUUGAGAAGAAUAUUAAAAAGUUGCUGCAAAUUUUGAAACCCAAGUGGUCCCAUAGGUCUAAUCCAUUGAUCCUUUAUGAAAAGUUAGGAUGGUUUUUCCAUCCUUCAUAUAUGUGGUGGAAAAAGGAUCAUUCCUUGGCUGCAACUUCUGCCCCCCAUGAAAUUAACAUCUUCUACCAUGGUGGGAGGAUCUCUAUUAUAGUAACUAGCACUAGAAUAACCAUACAUGUGAGAAUAAGCACAUGAUUCUUGAGAUUGAACUACCCGAUUUAAGAGUUAUUGCAUUUGAUGACUCAAUUCAGCUACCUGCCCAAAUCCCAUGGCACAUUCACUUCAUGCACUCGUACUCUCUUACCCCGAAUUGGUUUUUGUUGAGAAUUGAUAGUUAACAAUUCAUAGAGACUAACAAAUUCCUCCAAGGUUUUGUCACCAAUAUACCUUCCUGCUACAAUAUCCACCAUAUUCAGGGUUAUUAAGGUCAACCCAUCAUAGAAAAAUUACACUUGCAAUGCCAAUGAAUAGUGGUGGUGAGGACAUUGAGAAAGUAGUAGCUUAAAGCGAUCCCAUGCUUCAUGUAUUAGCUCUCGUUCCAUCUGAGAAAAUAUGCAAAUCUUGUUCCUUAAAUCAAUGGUCUUCUGAGAAGAGCAGUAUUUGGUCAUAAAGAUGUUAUAAACAUCUUCCCAUGUCCUCAAAGAUCCUUCAAGGAGAUGAAGUAACCAAGACUUUGCACGAUCCUUGAAACAAUAAGAGAAGCACCUUAUUCGUAAGUCAUCUUCUGAAACUCCACUCAAAGGGAAAGUUUGGACAACCAAAUAAAAUUCCAUUAUGAAGGACAAUGAGUCUUCAUUGGCUAAACCAUGGAAAGUAGGCAACAUGCUGCAGUGUACAGUUUUGAGCUCAUAGUUUUUUGCUCCGUCACUUAGCUAGAUGCAGUGGGAAGAGGUUACGAUCACAGGAAGUUGGAUGUCCCAAAGGCGAAGUCCUGCGAGUGGUUGCACUACCUGCUAUUGAUUAUUGCCAUUAUUUCUAUUCUCCUCAGCCAUCUCUUCGUCGCCAGAAUUGCCCGACUCAGCUAUCUCUAAGGUGAUAUGAAAUCCUGGUGAAGAUGGUUGCAAAGUUUGUUUUUGCAAGCGAGUUUGCUUCCUCAAAUACUUUGCAGCUUUUUCAAUUUUUGAAUCAAAAUCCAAAUCACCUUUUUGAGAUUGGGUCAUACACCAAUCACCUAAGUAAGAAAAAUCAAACUAAAAGUGAAGAACUAGAAGUAAAAUAAGAUAAAAAAUUAAAUUCAAUUCAAUAAAGUAGAAAAAUUAAGUGUCGUCUCCAGCAACGGCACCAAAAACUUGAUCGACAAAUUCCUGCAAGCGCACAAGGUCAAUCAUCGUAAUAUUUUACCUCAAAUGUUCCAAGGUCGAACCCACAGGGACGAGUUAAUUUUCUAUUUUAAUUAUUCUAACAAAAUUCAAAUUUAAGGAGUGUAUUUUCUAACUAAACAAUAAAAAAAAAACAAUCAAUUUAAAUAAAGUAGUGGUGAGAAAACUUUAGACAUGAGUCUAUGAUUUCAGGUUUUAAUCCAAAAUUUGAGUCAAUUAUCUAGUUAGUUUCUAACCACGUUAUGAACGUAUCACACGACUAUAUUUUAGACCACCUCUUGAUGCAUCUAAAGUGUGUUCCAUUAAAUCCUACACCUCUCUAGAUGGUCAUAAGAGUUCAAUUAAAGCCAUUAAAAUUCUCAGUGAUAUAGGUGCAUCACACAUACCCUAACCUACUCUUAUGAUUAGUCUAUGUGUGUUUAUCUAUCUAGUGCACGGUUGUAUCUCCUUUCUCAAGUUGACACAAACCCAACAUUCAUGUUCAUGGUGAUCAGGCAUAAACACGCAUUAAGAACAAGAUAAAUAAAUCAUAGUAAAAGGCAAGAAAUUAAACUACAAAAAUUAAUCAAUUUGCUUCAUAAAACCCCUAACCCGAGAAAUAAUUUAUUUCAACAUGAUUUAAAAGUUAAAAUCACAAAUUCAAAAAGUUGCUACAAAGAUAAGAGAAAGAGUAAGAAAACUUCUCAGUUGCUUGCUCCAAUCUUCUCCUAGCGCGCUCCUUGAUUCGCCACCAUUUGAACUUGAUCUCUCAAUAAUAAACUGUGAAAAGAUGUUAAAACUAGAUUAGACUAAUGUUUUCCACCUAAAAAUGACCUAAAGAACCCCUAUUUAUAGUUUCUUGAAGAUAUAUCCUAAACAGGGUAGGAAUAGGCUCUAUUGGACUCAAAAAAUCAUGUUUUUGCACAUUGAUCCAAUAAAUACAGGCCCAAUUCCAGCAUAGGUCAUUGGACGGAGCACAAAGCAUAAAAGGAUCUGGAGAUGUUAGGUGCAAAGUCAUUUGCGAAGUCUGGCGCCGGUCAUGGAUCCGCCCACAAAUCAGUGUGGAUCAUUUUUGAAACCUCAAAACUCCAUCAAAUAGGCCGAAUCAGUUCUUGCUCAAAACAUGAAAAUUGUAGCCCUUUGACUAGGCUUUGCAAUGCCUCAAGAAUAAAGUCAUUUGGAGGUCUAGACAUUGAGACAUGCCUAAAAUACUGAUACUUGGUUGUAAGAGCAUUGCAACAUAACUAUACUUCAAUGAUUUGGACUUUUGACUAUGAAAACGUUAGAACCAAACUUUGAGGUCUCAUAAAAGUUGUAGAGAAUUUUCUUGGCUUCAAAUUGAAUUAAGAAUCAUAUUAAUCUGAUUUGUGUAGUUCAAGUUAGCAUCAAAAUACUGAAAUAUGUCAUUCCUACGAAACCUCUUUCCCUUGACUUUUUCCUCUUUCAUUGCUACUUCACACCACAUUUUUAGAUCAUUUUCUCUCUAAUUGAGCUUUUUACCUAUUAGAACAAUAUAAGAGCAAAAUUAAGUAGUUUCUACUCAAAAUAAAGCUCAAAUAACAUAGGCUCCAUUUGGAUUAGGUAUUUUUGGGGUUGUUUUUCAAAAAUAGCACUGUAACAUUUCAUUUUUGAAAUACAAGUCCGUUUGCAUUAGUUGUUUUUGGGGUUGUUUUUCAAAAACUAUAUGAAAAACUUUUAUUGUAGAUGUUUUUUGGAUUAUUUUUAGAGGUAUUUUUAAAACAUAUUUUUGAGUAUUUUUAUAAUUUAUAAUUUUUAUAUUUUUAUAAUUAUAUACAUUUAUGCAUUUAUAAUACAUUUAUAAAUAUUUAUAAAUAAAUAUAUUUAUAUAUUUAUAUAAAAAUAUAUAAAUAUAUAAAUGUAUUAUAUUAUAUAUAAUACAUAAUAUAAUUUUUUUUUUUAUAAAAGAAUUUUUAUUCAAUCAUUCCAACGACAUAAACAUCAAACAGAGCAGGCUAAGCGCGCCUUCUCCUAAAACUCGGAACCCCUAAUUUAUCCAUACGUAUCUCUCCCCUAGCCAUUAGGGGCAAACUAUCAAAGGAGUCAAAAAAGACAGCAUCUCGUCGAAUCGCCCCCAACUUGGCCAACCUGUCCGCAGGUUGAUUUGCCUCUCGCCAACAAUGAGUUAUCGACCGAACCAAACUCUGCAAUCGCAGGAUCUCGUCCACCUCCACCUGCAACCGCCAGGGGCAUGCAUGACCUCCCGAAAGAAUCUGAACCAGCGUUAAAGAGUCCACCUCCAAGUGUAACUGGGUAUAUCCUCGUGCUACACACUGCCGGACCCCAUAAACCAAAGCGCGGAGCUCUGCGUGCAGGCUCGUAGUGAUGCCAAAGUAGCAGGAGAACCCAAAGAGGAAACCCCCAUGGCAAUCGCGCAAAAGCCCUCCCCCACCACUCCUGCCCGGGUUGCCAAGCGAACACCCGUCAGUGUUAAGCUUGUAACCUUCCGGUGGAGGCAACCACUUAACAGGCCAGAUAAGCCACCGACGUGGCCGCAUUUCCAAGUAGUCGUGCAAACUCACCCAAGUGGCAUGGGCCCAUGGGAGUGACGGGAAUUGCAGAUGCAACAGCUCCUUCAGCCAGUGCAUGACCCGGGUUAUCACCACCCCCCCUUCUACACGCCCACCCUGCAUGAAACCAUUAGUCCGAGCUCUCCACACCUCCCAACAAAUUAGAGAUGGCAGGAGCCGAUAGACGAAUGCCAGAUACCGAUUUGAAGCAGGUCGAAUCCACCACGAGAUUGCCCUAUGUCGAACCGAGUUGAUACCAUCCGAGCACCCCCCCGGAAAAUCAAACGCUUUCCAUACUUGACGAGCAGUCUCCCCUGUGCAAAACAGAUGGUUCAAUUGCUCCUCCUGAGGAUUGAUGCAGCAGCAACAGCGGGACGGCCCUUGGACUCCAAAACGUCGUAGCUGCUCCAUUAGUGGUAAUCUGUCUGACAGGAGUCGCAACAUAAAAAAUGAAAUUGUUACCGGCAAGAAUCUGUGCCAAAUGCAAGCAGAGCCAAGGGAUCCAUUAGAGUGGGCACGAACAAGUGACAUCGCUGAGGCAACCGAGAACUCCCCAGCAGGAGUUAACAUCCAUACCAUCCUGUCUUCCCCCUGAAGAGCUGGAGGCGAGGACGCCAUCACCAAACGAAAUACCUCCGGCUGUAAAACUUUGGAGAGGAGUGGCGCGCUCCAUUCCCCUCCAAUAACAAAAUCUGCUACACGAUGGUCCUGGAACACCUCCACUUGACGACACAGCGGUCCUGACCCAGUCCAGUUAUCAUGCCAAAAAUCCAUUGUCCCUGACCGAACAAUCCAGCCGAUAUUUUCCUCCAUUACCCCCUGGACCAUACACAUCCGCCUCCAAGUGUAAGAGCUCCCUAUCCUCUCCUCUACCAAGCAAGGGUGCCGGCCCCUACAAUACUUAGCCGCAAUAAAAGAAGCCCAGAGCGAGCGACCCUGUCUGAAAACCCACCACAACUUCAUUCAGAAUGCCUGAAAGACCUCUGUUAUCCGCCGGAGGCCCAACCCCCCCUCACCAUACGGCCUACAAAGGUCUUCCCAUUUCAUCCAGUGAAACCUCGGACCAUACUCUGAAGAGCCCCAUAGAAACGCUGCCAUCUCUCUCUCUAUCUCCCGUAAGACUCCCUUGGUAGGCGACGCCGCUGCCAACAAAUGAAUAGGCAGAGAGGAUAGAACGUGCUUGAGAAGCACCACCCGUCCCCCUGGCGACAGAAUUCGCUGCUUCCAAAAUAAAAUUCGACCAACAAUGGCCUUGCAAACCUCCCCAAAAUACUCCUUCUUCCGCCGUCCCGUGUACAAGGGGCAACCCAAAUACCGGAUCGGAAAGCUUCGAUUCUGGAAGCCCGUAAGAUGCCUGAUAAUGCUGCAGCGAUACGGAGAAAGGCGAGGAUGCACAAGGAAGGCACUCUUUUGCUUAUUAAUCUUCUGUCCCGACACCUCACAAUAAUCUUCGACAACCCUCAUCACAAGACGCAGAGAAGAUUUCAAGCCACUGGUGAAGAUGACCACAUCGUCGGCAAAAGCCAGAUGUGUGACAAUCGGGCAACCAAUCGGAAUCUUAUACGGUUGAAACUGACGCUGCUCAACCAUAGCGUUCAGCGCCCGAGAGAGAGCUUCAGAACCUAUCACAAACAAGGCUGGAGAUAGUGGGUCCCCUUGUCUCAACCCACGCGUUGAACGAAAGAACCCCUGAGGGGUCCCGUUGAUCAAAACCGAGAACCAAACAUUAGAAACCAGUCUCCAAAUGGCAUCAAUCCAUGACUCGGAGAACCCGAAACGCCUCAACACUUGCAAUAGAAAAUACCAUGACACCCUAUCGUAAGCUUUCAUCAUAUCCAACUUAAGCACCACGUUUCCUCCACGUGACUGUUUCCCAAUAUCUGCCACCAAUUCCUGUGCCAGUAAAAAGUUGUCUGCAAUUUGUCGCCCUUUGACGAAUCCACUCUGUUGAGGGGAGAUGAUCCGGGGUAACAACUUAGCUAACCGAUCCGACAAGAUACGUGAGAGCACUUUAUUUAAGAAGUUACAAAGACUUAUCAGACAGUAUUGUGUGAAGUCCUGGGGGCACUGAACCUUAGGGAUCAGGACAAUAUUCGUGGCGGUAAUGCUCCUUGGCAGCUCCGCCCCACAAAAGAAGCUUAAAACCGCCUGGUAGACAUCCUCCGCAAUCACAUCCCAUGCAAAUGUGAAAAACUCCCCCGUAAACCCAUCCGGUCCCACAACGCUCUCACUAUCCAUUGAGAAAAUCACCUUCUUAACAUCCUCUAAAGUGGGGGGCUCCAUUAGUCCGGAAUUAUCCUGAUCGGUCACCAACCUCGGAAUGGUAUUCAAGAACUCAUAAGUUGAGGGAGGCGCCUCUGCAGUGAAAAGCCCCUGGAAAAAACCAAUUGCCUCCUUUCCGAUGAGGUCCUCAGAUUCUACCCAAGCACCAGUAGGUCCACGGAUCCUAUGAAUGAUAGCCCUACUUCUCCUCUCUGCCACCACCGCAUGGAAGUACUUAGUAUUCCUAUCGCCAUCCUUCAGCCACCGCACCCUGGCUUUUUGUUUCCAAAAUCCUUCUUCGACAACCAAGGUAACCCGAAGCCGCUCCCUGGCAACAUUGAGGGCCCGUUGCACAGAGUCAGAGGAGUCCUGCUCCUGGGCCACCUCCGCCUCCUGUACAGCCCUCUCUGCCUCCUUAACAGCCUUGAAUAUGUCCCCAAAAGAGUCCCUAGACCACCCUUUCAGCGCUUGCUUGACCGCACGCAACUUGGAAGCUAAACUCCCUAACGGCGACCCGCCAAACUCCCCUGACCAUGCAUCACGUAUGACGUCCCGCAGCCCCGCUUUCGUGGUCCACACAUUGAGAAAACGAAAAGGCUUCGGUUUAUGAUCGAAGCGAAAGGAAGCGGUCAUCAAAAGCGGGGAAUGAUCCGACGGAUCCCUAGCCAAGUGCUGCACCAGGAAGCUAGAUCCCAUCUGCAAAGCCUCCAAGUUGAGAAGCACUCUAUCGAGGCGUUUCCAAAUCCGAGCCCGCCCUUGCCGAUUAUUACACCACGUAUACUUGGAACCCGAGAAACCUGCGUCCAUCACUCCAGCCUCCACCAUGAACCGCGCAAUUUCGACCCCUUCAUUUAAUUGAAAUGGCACCCCUCCUCGCUUCUCUUCCUCCUGAGCAAUCACAUUUAAAUCUCCCGCUAAGAACCACGGAGUCUCAGUUGGCUUGUCCAACAACAACUCUGCCCACAACAUCUCGCGGUCGAGCACUGUGCAUUUGGCAUGGAUAAAGGAGAAAACCAGGGUAGAUGGGAAUAACGGGCAAUGGACCUGUAGCGACACAUGUUGACUCGACUCGCCAACCACCAAGCAAGAGAGACCUGAGUUGUAAAAGACCCAAACGGUACCCCCCCUAUUUGAGACACUCCCAUCCAUCCCCAACUGUAAGCGCACAGCAUCAAUGUUGUCUAGGGUAACUUUCGGCUCGCAAAUCGCCACCAAUUUUAAAGAAUGUAGUUUAACAAGUUUCUUAAGCCUCCUAAAAUUUGGGGCGCGAGAAACACCCCUAAUAUUCCAAAAUAGCAUUUUAAUCAUUGGAGAGAACUACAAAGGAAUUAGAUGAAGAGGACUUACUUGAUCGUAAAGUUCGGUCAGAUGGAAAACGAGCACGAACUCCCCGAUGUCUAGCGUGAGCCCUUUCCCAUUGCCCUUCACCCCCAGAGAGAUGAUUUACCACCCCUUCCGCAUCAGCAACCGAAUCAAGGUGAAGAGAAUCAGCUAGCCUUCCUUGAGUGUCAUCAAGAUCCACAAUGAGCUGCAUAUUCGCAAGAGAAAGACUGCCAUCUUCUAGAUUUAAUGCCUCCAUUCCUGCCCCAUAUUCCAAUCUCGUUCGACCCUCCUCCUUAGGAGACAAGCUGUCCUUGCGACGUUGAGUUCCAACUACUUCCUCCUCCAUAAUCUCAACACCCAUUUGCCCCUCUAUCGAUACUUUAGCCAGUGCCACAUCCAUCUCCUCUGGCCGCACUACCAUUCCCAUUUUGCAGCUGUCAAGAUGCAGCCCAGGCUCUUCCCCUUGGCUCGCUGCCCCCAUGUAUGCACCCCCACCCACGGCCUGCUCCUCCAAGGUAAACUCCCUGACAUGAACAUUCUCAAUCUGCUCCUCCUCAGGUUCAUCCACCACUCAAUCCGCCAGCGCAUGGAUGAUAGCAUCAGCAGCAGCCUCGAUCCCUUCCUCCACGAGCGCAGCCACUGAUCCAGGAUGCUGUCUAGAAGUCUGCACUUGCAGUCCACCCAUAACAGACGGAGGCGUAACAGUUGAGACCAUACCCAAUCGCUGCCCCUCCGCCUGCCCCAUUUCCUUUACCUGCCGCGCACCUGAUUGCACCUCAGCAGUUACCUCAAUUACCAGGCCUGGCCUUUCACCCUCUGGUCCCUUGUUAACCUGCAAUGAGGGCACCCCCACGCCGCCCCUCCUUCCCACAACCUGGUCUUCCUGCAUCUUAGACAUCCUCAGGGCAGGAUGUUUCACACGGCACUGAUCCUCCCCAUGCCCUUGUCGGUAACAAUGACUACAAUACUUAGGAAGAUUCUCGGGUAUGAGAACCUGCCAAAAGCCAUCCCCAUCACCCAUGUCCACCCACACCUUCGAUGGUAUCGGCUUCAAUAAAUCAAUCUCGACACACACCCGUGCCACAUUCGGGCGAGAGAAUGAAGCCGUAGCCGCAUCAACGAAUAACGGCUUGCCCAUGCAGGACACAAGAUGAAAAAGACAUGGCUUAGCAAACAAAUGAAUAGGCAACUUGGGCAAGCGAACCCAGACAGGGACAAGGGACGACUCUCUAUCGACAUGGAACUUAGAUGUCCACUUGAAAACUCUCAUAGGACACCCAAACACAUACCAGAGGUUACGGCCCCAAACGCGUAGGAAGUCCGCUUCGCUAAGAAAUUUCAGCAACACAUGUCGAGAAUCUAACAAACCCACUGAUACCGUGUCUUUCAAAUCAAGAGUCGAGAAGAACUUACGAAGAUCCUGCAUCGCUGGACGCCCCUUGGAGAAUUUUCCAACCAAGGUGUAUCGAAAAGGGGCAGCUACCGCUGCAAUGUCCGCAGCGUUGAAGAUUACUGCCGGCUCCCCACGAUGGGUUGACAAAGUUGCUUGAACCACAUCAGGCGAGCGACUCUCAAACAACGCAGAGAAUGAUUUCUUCUGGAAGUUUGGAGAAGAAGAGACCGAUGGCCCCCCACCAGGAGGUAGGGGGCAGCCGCGGCUGCCAUGGGAAAAAAAAACGAAGGAACCCUAAAAUUCUAAAACUGGAAACUCGAGAGAGAAAACAUUCGAGUACUGGCUCUUUUAGAAGUAUUUUUCCAAUACAUAAUAUAAAUAUAUUUAUAAAUGUAUAAAUUAUAAAUGAAUAUUAUAUAAAUGUAUAAAUUAUAAUUUUUAAUUUUUAAUUUUUAAUUUUUAUAUAAAUAUACAUUUAUGCAUUUAUAAUACAUUUAUAAAUUUUUACAUAAAUAUUUAUAAAUGUACUACAAUUUACACCUUAUCAACCACUUUGCCUUGGCUGUAAAAUGAUCUUUUAUCUCUCCUGACCAUAGGAAAGAAGCUAGUAGAGCAUCAGUUUUCUCAAUACAGCCUUAGAGUGUAUGAAUGCACUUGCACAAUAAAGGUAGGUGCACUCAAAACUGAUUGAAUUAGCUGCAAUCUACCCUCGUAACUGAGUUUCUUAUUUGCCCAACUAUAAAUUCUUUGCUGAAUUUUAUUGAAGAUAGGUUAACAAUCUUGAUAUCUAAGCUUAAUAGAUAUCAAUGGCAAUCCCAAAUAUUUCACAGAAAAGGCACUUCUAGUGAUGCUCACUCUAUCACUUAGCUUUUCAGCAACCUCAUCUGACACUCCUGAUAAAAGUACGUUACUCUUCUGUAGAUUUGGUUUAAGUCCAGAUAACCACUCAAAUUCAGUAAGAGAGUCCUUAAGAACGUGGAGAGACUGAGUAGUAGCAACAGCAGACACAAGGAAAAGGUCAUAAGCAAAUGCAACAUGAGAAAAAUUAAGCUCAGUACAACCAGGGUGAAAAUCAAAGCCUCUUUUCUGAAUAUCUCUUUGCAAUAGUGUAGAAAAACUCUCUAUACCUAUGAGAAAGAGAUAGGGGUAAAUGGGGUCUCCUUGUCUAAGUCCUCUUUCACUAUGAAAAUAUCCAAUUAAUGAUCCAUUUGCGUUGAUAGAAAAAUGUGUUGUGGUGACAUGCUUCUCCACCCAGUGAACAUACUUUUCAGGAAAUCCCAUAAUUUUCAUAGUAGUAAAUAGGAAAUGCUAAUCCACAGUAUCAUAAGUUUUCAUGGAGUCAACCUUUAGCACAAAUCUUGGUUUUCCUCUAUACCUAUGGUAUCCACGGACCAGCUCAUGCAUGAUUAGCACACUAUCUGCAAUCUACCUCCCUUUAAUAAAAGCAUUUUGUGUUUUGGAAAUCAAAUCAGGCAAAACUUCUUUAGUCUAAUAUUGGUUAAUACAUCUGAGUGGCAUCUAUGUAGAAGAUUAUAGCAGGGGAUAGGUCUGAAAUCCAUCAUCUGCACUGCAUCUUUAAUCUUAGGAAUCAAGGACAAUGAGGCAUUGUUCUGAGGAAAAUACAUGUAUUCAUUCUCAAAAUAGAACUUUAAAGCAGCAAUGACGUUAUUUCCCACAAUUUCUCAAUUGCUUUUGAAAAAUAUAGCUGUGAAACGCUCGGGACGAGGGGCAUUGCGAUUCUUCAUAGCAAACAUUGUUAGCAUAUGUUAUUUUUAUUUUCUUUCUCUCUCCUAUUAUUUUGUUAUCCCUUGUAACUACUAUAAGAUUAGGAUAGAAUUAGUUUUUGUAUUUCUAUAUGAUAAAGAUAGGACUAAUUAGUUAAAUGACAAGGAUAAAAUUAGCAUAGUAUUCUAGUACGUUAGGCUGGAAGUUUGCAUUUGAUCAAGGGCAUGAUACGAUUGAGGUUGGCUGGGCCAAGAAAGUCACCUAUCUCUGGAACAUGCAAGUCGAAAAAUUGAUGUGUGUCCAAAUACCCCUUUGCUUAUUAGUGGUUUUUGUGGAAAAGUAGAUAUUUUUCUCUAGAUUAUUAAAAAGAAAAUAUUAAGCUUACUCACAGAAGUAUAAAGCUUUGCAAGUAGGGAUGGCAAUGGGGCGGGGGUUCCUUCCCCCAUCCCCCGCCCCGUUGUCAAAUAACUCCCCUUGUCCCCUGCCCCUUGCCCCCCACCCCCGCCCCGCCCCCGCACCGUUUCCCCUGCGGUCCCACGCGAGAAAAGAAAUCAACUUAUCAUAAAAUGUUCAUUUACAAUAAUUCAUUGAAUUUUUUAUUACGUUGCACUUGAUUGCCCCUCUAUGUAUAUCUGACUUUUCAGUUACCAGCCCAUCUCCUGACCAAAAUAUAUCAUUUGGAGUUAUUUCAGCAUUAUACAUAUAUCCAUGGCUAUCUUUUUUUUUAUAAUACUAAAAUCCUAAACCAUUUAAUUGCCGUAAAACGAGUAUUAGUACAUAAGAUGCCAGAGAUUCAUAUCCAAAGCCACAGCAUAGCUUUACAACAACAUAGAGCUUUUCCCAUUAACUAAAAGCAUUCACAGGUCUCCUGAACUAAUUAGCUAAAGAUGACCCCCACCAUAAUAAGUUAUAUCCAUGGCUAUCUAAAAGGAUUGAACAACUCAGAAAUUUAUGCACACAAAAGCCUAGUACAUGAAGCAAAAAAAAUUAGAAGCAAGCCUAUACGAAAAGCAAAACUCUCCUCGUAUGUCCAAGCAUUUUUGAGAACUAACAAGAAAGAGGAAGAAUUCCCAAACGCUAACCAAAAAUAUCUUGAACAGUUAGGGGUUUUGUUACUUUUGUGUAUUUAUAUAUAUAUAUUUUAUGCAGGGGACGGGGCGGGGGAUGGGGCGGGUGUAUGUUGCCCCAUCCCCCGCCCCUUUUUAAGGCGGGGGUAAAUAUUUUGCCCCCGCCCCGCCCCAUUUGUACCCCGGCGGGUGCCCGCCCCAUUGCCAUCCCUAUUUGCAAGUCCAAAAUGAGCAAUUUUGAUGGACAAUCUACGUCAGUGUCCCAAAUUCAAGGGAGUUUUGAAAUUUCAAAAGUUAGGAAUAAGGUGAUGGACUAAUAAUUAAUUGAGAAAGUUAGUGAUUAAUAGGAGUUUGCAACUGUAAACGAUAAUUAAGUAAAAGGAUAAUAUGAAUAUCACAGUCCGUAACUUAAAUCUUAGUUACAGACACAUCCUAACCACAGAUUCCUAAUUCAUGUUUUCAGGUCAUCUUGAAAUGCAGACGUAACAAAUUUCAUAGGUUGCAACAGCCAAUUUUUGUACAAGAGAGGUCAGUGUAUAUAAAUGUUGAUCAUUAGAAGAGACACCAACCUCAUUAACCCUUAUAGGAAUAGAAUCCAGUCUAUUACCAAAAUAUUGAAUACUAGCGGUCAUAAAUUAGUAAAAAAAAUAAGAGAAAAAAAUAAAAAUCCGAAGAAAAUAAAUCGAAAAGGCACUAGUACCCGGCAACGGGGCCAAAAUUUGAUGGGUGUUAAACCACCAAAAUUAAAAUUCCUACUCUCAAACUUAAAUUCAACUGUAGUGGUGAGUAGGGUCGUCUCCUCAGGGACUCCAUGAUUUAUUUCCUUCUAACACAAUAAUUAAAUGGGGGUUCUGGAAAAUUAAAAUAAAAAAUCAGUUUAACUAAAAGUAAUCAAAUGAAAGAAAUUUAAAUUAAGUUAAUAAUAAGUGAACUCUAGCCAAAGAAAUAACUACGGAAGUGGUUCAUACAACUAUUCAUCGAUGCAAUAAUUAUUUCAUCUAUUUGUUAAUAAAUAGGUUAUAGUUGCUAAACACGCGAUGAUAACCAGCUUUUCCUUACCGUCUCGAUGGUUAACUUAUGCCUAUUAACUACUUUUCUAACCAAGAAACAACUCUAGGUAUGCCCAUAGAAUUUAAUUUCUUGAUUGCAUUAAAAACUAGAAAAACCCUAUUCUAAUCAAUAAACACACUAUCAGGGUUUAUUUAAAUUAGAUUAUAUAUUUUCCUAAUACGAAACCAAUCACGCUAGUCGCCACUAAUUUAAGAUAAUUAAACAAUUACGGAUUUAACUAUCUGAACUAAUACUAGAUUAUUAGGUUGAAUUGAUAUUCAAAUAACAAAACAAGUAUGAGAAAUUAAAUCAGAAAACAUGUGAAUACUAACGAAUAAAAGAAACAGAUAAAAAUAAUUAGAUCUGAUAGUCGUAGAGAACAAAAUUCUUGGUUAACCCUUGACUAGAAUAAGAAAUUAGCCACUCAUCGUUGGGAGGCAAUCCGCACAAUUUCAUUGAAGGAAAUCGCAUACGCGCCUGGCAAAAGAAAAAAACUAAAGAAAAGACGCAAAGCAAGGCGCUCCGUUGUUCUUGCUUGCUGCUAAGACUAGUAGUAUCUCCUCUCUUUGGACCACGGACGAACUGUUAAAGUCACGAAAAACAAAUUCCCUUCUCCUCACGUUACUACUUUUCCAAAUAAGUACUACUACUCUAAUUUCCUAUGAAAGAAAUAUUCCCUAUAUUGAUAAAAGAUAAAUCAAAUCGUUUUCCAAUACAAUUUGGAAAUAUGCCUUUUUAGGUUUUCAACUUGAAUUGGGAAACUAUCAUGCGUAAAUCCCAACUUCUCCGGACUUGCAGGCUAGCUUUAGGCACGACUACAUGAAAAAAAGCUAAGAAUCUUCAUUAAUCCGUUUUUUGACUCUUGUCUUGCCAUAUUCCUGAAAUUAGCACUAAUUGCCACAUAUAAGUAUAAUCCAUCAAUUAUUACAAUAAUUUGGCCAAAAUCAAGGAAAAAUACACAUAAAUUUAAUAGUAAUUACGUACCCAAUCAACGAGUAAGGGAUGAGAGGGAGGUCCCUGAGCAAGGGAUGGCAAGUUAAGCUUUGAUUGUUUAACUAGAGGGAGGUCUAGUUCACUGCAAAUUCGAAUAAAUCAAACUAAUGACUAGUUGUUCUUUUAGGUAAUUUAUGCCCAUGGUCCAAAAAAAAAUAUGCCGGUACCCAAAAACUUUGUCUCUAUUAUCCCCAGGCCCCCGGAACUAAGAAAAAAUCUUCCCUCUAUGCCUUUUAUUAUGUCUGAACUGAGGACUUCCAUUUUCUCAGUUCGUACUAGUGAACACUACCAGAAAAUAGUGUAAACGUGGCACCAAAAAAGUGCUGUAAAUAUGGGGGAAUAAUUUCUUUGGCUUGGAUGUUUUGAGUUAAAGAGUUCUAACCGUUCGAAUGUAUUUUGGAGUAGUGAAGUUGAUAAACAGAAGAUGAUGUGGUCUCAAUAUGAAUCAGCAGUGAAGUAUGGGUGCGUAUAAAAAUUUGUCAAUUUAUAAUGGCUUUUUUUAUUUUAAUUAACCACAUAAAAAUGAUUCAUCCAUGCAAAAGCGUCACAACAAUUACAGCAUAUAUUAAAAGCGCCGCCAAACCAAUGGCCGCCCUAAACGACUGUAGAUUAUUAAAAAAAUCUAUGGAGACAAGAUAAAUUUUUUUUUUUUGUCGAAAAUAAUUGAUCUGAUAAUUGAUAUGGAGACAAGAUAAUUGAGAGAGUGUCCCAUGCAUCGAAAUUGAUCUGAUAAUAAAGAUUAAUAUUAUCAUUUUUUAAUAUUAUUUGAGUGGAAUCUUAUAAGUCGGAGAGAUCAUUGGAAUAAAAAAGAAUUACGGAGCACUAAGACAAAUAAACUAUGAUACGUACAACCAAUGAAUGACGUGCAAGUAACAGAAAGCUUGAAUACUUAUCUUCACCCACUGCAAUGUUUAAUUGCUUGUUUAGAAUGUGCAUUUGGACGAAAUCUAAUCCAAUCCUUUCACACUCCCCAUUUUCUUAGUAUCAAUCACUAGUUGUCGUUUUUCUCCUUUGGUGCAAGUAAAUUGACAACACUGAAAAUUUAAAAACUUGCGUUGCAAGCUACCUUUCGUGGCUUUACAAUUGGCAUAUUUCUAGUAAUUUAGGUACUGUUUUUAGAAGUGAUUGGAAUGACAUUACGUUCCAGCUACCUUUCGUGGCUUCUGGUUCUUUUAAAGUGCCGUCUGCUGUAUAGAUGUUGUGUCCCCCGGAAUUGAGGAAAAGUGUCUUCAUAACCCUAAAAAGCAAUAACAAAGCAAAAAAUAAAUAAAGAAAAGAGACACCACUAUAUUUAUGUGAUUCAAGAAAGUACAAAAAACUCAAGAAACUGUUCUAGAACCAAAAGAACUUAAUACUAAAAUAUAGUGUCCUAAAAUAUCAGUAUAUUUAUAAUUACUAAAAAUUAUAAUCUUAGAGUUUCAAAUAUAUUGGUAAAAAUGGCAAUCAUUUUUUUGAAAAUACAGAAGAAAUUAAUAAUUUAGAUUGUCAAAGAAUUUGUGUAUCCCCUCUAUAAAACUGGCCUUUUUCUUUUUUCUUUUUUUUUUUUUAUUGUAAACGAAUAUAUCAGUUUAUCAAGAUAGAUAUAAUAAUGAAUCUGUCCUCUGUUAAAAACUUUACAACCCAAAUUUAUAAAUGCAAUUUGGAACCUAUGAGGGUCAUUAGAUUUGUAAAAUUAUAUUUAGAUCAUCAAAAUUUUGUGAAUCUAAUUCCACAUCAUAAAACUAAAAGAUACCUUGAUCAUUGAUUUUGAGUUCAAAUUCUUAUAUUUCACUGAUAAGUUUUGGGAUGACUUGAACUUUAUGCUAUUAGCAUAUAAUGCUAGAAAUAAGUAAGUAUCUUGAUCGUAGACCAUUGGUGUGUUUGGAUACAUAAUUUAUUUUAAAUAUUAAAUUUGUUGCAUCAUAAACACAUUCUCCAACCUUUUUUAUAUUUUCAACCAUCUUCUUUUUUCGCAUUAAUCACAACACAAAAAAAGUAGUAUGGUAAUUAUUAAAGUAUUUUUUAAAUAAUUUUUAUAAGUCAGGUUUUUUAAUGUUUUCAUUGCAUUUCCUUUUGUUUCUGCAGAAACUGGAACAUGGGCUGCUGGGGCUUUUAUACCUAUGGUAGGUAAGAUUAAACUAAAAUUGAACAGGAGAGGUCCUGUCUUUUACACCUAUGGUAGGUCAGUUUUUCACUUUUCUUCUAUCCCAUUUAAUAAUGCUAGAAAUUAUUAAGUAUUUUGGUUGUAGACCAUUGGUGUGUUUGGGUACAUAAUUUUUUUCGAAUAUUAUUUUUAUUGCAUCAUAAACAUGUUCAACACAAAAAAAAAUGUAGUACGGUAAUUAUUAAAAUAAUUUUUUCAACUGUGUUAGUAAAUGGAAAGAUGUACCAAACACCAAAGAAAAUUGGAAAAUUAGUGUCACCUGAAAUCUCCUUCAAAGCAUCCUUGAAGCUAGUGGGUGUUUUAUGGGAGAUUAGUGAUAUUACAAAGGGUGAGUGUUUUUUGAGGGGCUAUGCCAGGCUGUGGUGCAAAAGGUUGAGUCCUGGGAGAAUAAGUUGUUAUCUGCCGGGGGUCGGAUUGUUCUGUUGAAGCAUGUGCUAUCUGCUCUGCCACUCUUCCUCUUGAUGGCUGCAUCUCCACCCAAGUCGGUAUUUAGGGAGAUUGAAGGGCGGUUCUCAAAUUUCCUUUGGGGUGAGUCGGAGUGGGGGCAUAAGUGUCAUUGGAUCAGGUGGCAGGAUUUAUGUGUGCCAGGGGAUGAAGGGGGCUUGGGGCUGCGACGAUUGGAGGAUAUUCACAGAGCCUUCUCCAUCAAGCUUUGGUGGAACUUCCGUUCGUUGGCCUCUUUAUGGGCGACCUUUAUGAGGGCUAAGUACUGUGCGCAGGUGCAUCCUAAUUUGGUAAAUUGUAAUGGGGGUUCGCUAAUCUGGAGACGGAUGGUAACAGUGCGGCAGUUUGCAGAGCUUCACAUUGGUUGGAUUGGGCGAUCUGGAGGCUUGAAUUUCUGGUUUGAUAACUGGCUCGGGACAGGUUCUCUGGCCUCUCGGCUGGAUAGUGUCUCGGACCAUUUGCUUGUUGAUUUCGUGGAGAAUGGCCAUUGGAACCUUCCACUCUUGCAGCAAUGGGUUCCGCACGGGGUUAUCAGUGAGAUCGUGCGGGUUGUGCCUCCUGUAGGUCAUUUGCCCGAUUUAAUGGUAUGGAGACCAUCUUUAUCGGGGCAAUUUAACCUAAGUUCGGCGUUCCACCUUGUGAGGAGGCAUGUUAAUCGCUCAUUUAUGUCUAGACGAAUAUGGCAUCCGUUGGUGCCUUUGAAGGUUUCUUUCUUCUUGUUACGCCUACUUCGCGGGCGUUUACCGGUGGACUGUUGCUUGAUGAAGUUUGGGGUUCAGGGGCCUUCCAAGUGUGAGUGUUGCCCUUUGCCUUCUAUCGAGACUAUUGACCACGUCUUUGCUACGGGGGAGAUGGCGUCACGGGUAUGGCAUUUCUUUGGGGAUCCUGUGGGAAUAUCUUGGGUUGGGUCGUCCUUUCGUGGAUGUAUGGCGGCCUGGUGGUAUGGGAGGAGAGGCAACCGACAGCUCGAGUUUGUGCAUCAGAUUCUCCCACUCCUGAUUUGCUGGCAGUUAUGGAAAUGCAGAAACAGCAUGCGAUAUGAUGGGGCCUGUAUCGGGUGGACCAGGGUGUGCAACUUGGUUUUGUCCGAUCUAUUGGAGCUGUUCGGUCUGUUUCUUCCCCACCGGAGGCCUUUCCCCUCGGACUGGGUACGUUUCUAUGCAGAGAUCUCAGGGUGGGCACCCCGGAUUUCCUAUACGCUGGUGCGGUGGUCUCGGCCUUCGGCGGGUGCUCUCAAACUCAAUACGGACGGCUGUUCCAAGGGUAAUCCUGGCGCUAGUGGAGGAGGAGGGAUACUUCGGGAUGGCGGUGGCAGUUUGAUUCUGGCGUUCUCGUGUUAUUUUGGCCAUGCUACGAGCCUUCAGGCCGAGGUUUGUGCGCUUCUUUUUGGGGUUCAAUUGUGCUUUCAACGCGGGUUUGGCAGGAUUGAGGUAGAGCUAGAUUCACUUGUCCUAGUUCACAUUCUCCUUGGAAAGGCUACAUAUCCUUGGAGUGUGUAUCACGAGAUUCAGCAGCUGCUGGGAUUACGCGGCCAUUUCUUAACAGUUCGACAUUGUCUCCGCCAGGCAAACCAGGUUGCUGAUGCUUUAUCAAAUGUCGGCUGUGCUCAGGGGAGAGAGGAGGUUUACACUUCUUCAAUAGCUUUACCUCGUGUAGCUAGAGGAGCCAUGCGCCUUGAUAGAGGGGGGGUUCCUUCGGUUAGACGGAUUAUCCAUAACUAGGGCAGUCUGUAAUGGUUUUUCCUCAAGUUGAUCAAUAAAGUUUUAGAGUUUUGAAAAAAAAGAAAAAAAAAGAAAAAAAAAGGGUGAGAUUAUUACAAACGUGUAUGAAAAUCCCCUGGUGGCCAAUUGUGGCGUCUAAAACACCAGACGCAUCGAUUUUUAAAAUUCCGACCUUGCAGCUGGAAAUCAAUCUGGAACAAGAUGAAUGAUGCAAAAUCUUGAACAAAUGGAUUGAUUAACUUGUUUAGUUAAUUGAAGUCAUGUGCACCUUUUGUCCAAUAACAUUUUCUUCUUUUUUUUCUUUUUCCCUAAAGCGCGGUGCAUCAAGGCAUUUGCUUUCAGCAAAACUCAGAUGAACAUCAUGCAUGUUCUAUUUAUCAAAAAAAAAAAAAGAAUUGUAUUUGGAUAGUUGAUUAUUUGGAAUAAUUUUCUGAAAAAAAUAUUGUAGUACUUUUUUAAUGUGCUGUAUGUGAAAUAAAAGAUAAUUAAAAAAUAUGUUGAUGAUACAAGCAAAUAAAUUUUGCCAAAUAAUCUACUACGCAAACAAAAGUAUUUGGAGGUUGUGGCAACAGACGGGAUAUUUUUUUUUCCCCAUUACAAUCUCAGUUGGGAAUAGUUCAGCAUAAAUUAUCCAAACUGACCAACUACUUCCUGCAACAAGAAAAUGCGAUUUAAUCAUGUGAUACAGAGGUUAAUCACUAAGCAAGAUUAGCAUGCUUGAGGGCCUUGAAAAUGUCUACUUGUUCAGUGGUUUUCUAUAAAAAGCCAACCGUGAUGAGAUAAUUAUCAAACUGCUAGUGCUGAUUAAUGUACAUUUACCUUGUUGAAAAAGAAAGAAUUAGACCUACUUGGCUUGAAUUUACAUCUGACAAAUGUGUAACGUAAUUGAAAAAGAAAUUCACUAAUUUUCCUUUCAACUUCAAUUGUAUAAGUUGAAAUGUAUAGAACUUUAGUAAUAUUUUUAUAGUUUAUUUUUUCACCAAUAAAUUUUUUCCCUAAUCAUGUAAAAUAAGCGGGAUGUUUUUCUCUAUCUAAAAAUAUGUAAUUGUGGAGAUAAAAUUUAACAAGACUUGUAAAAUGAAAUUAAUUCUUCUAUUAAUAUUUACAUAUUUAUUAUAUAUUUUUCUAAGUAUAUAAUAAUUAGUAUCUAAAAGUACUUUAUUAAAUUAAUACACACAGGUUCAACUAGUGACCCAAUUCCUCUGCUGGACUCCUUGUCAUGUCAAGUUUAAUAAUUAUGCUUUCUCCAACUAGAAAAUACAACUUAAUCAUGAGAUUCUCAUGUUCAUCACUGAAUAAGAUUUGUAUCCUUGUGAGCUCUCAAAAUAUCUACUUAUUUUGUGGCCUUAAGUAAAAAGCCCAUUGUGACGAGGCAAUUGUCAAACUGCUCAUUAUUAUACUUUUUUUAUAUGAUAGAUUUUAUACUAUAAUUAUUUGUACUCUACAUUAAGAGGUACUGUAUAAGAUUAGUAUCCUUGUGAGCUCUCAAAAUAUCUACUUAUUUUGUGACCUUAAGUAAAAAGCCAAUUGUGACGAGACAAUUGUCAAACUGCUCAUUAUUGUACUUUUUUUUAUAUGAUAGAUUUUAUACUAUAAUUAUUUGUACUCUACGUUAAGAGGAGGGGAUCUAAAAAGAUCAAAGGAAACUCGUCGACCCUGAUGAGUGCAUAGGCACCCACUAGCAAAAUAUUUCUAAUAAAAUCUGGAUAUUAGAAUGUAAACCAAGAAUUUGAUCCUUAACCUACAAUCAAAUAAAACUUUCUUGAUGCCGGCUUUUGUGGUUUCCUGUGGAUAAAGUCUCGUAAAAUGCAAAAGUCAAUCUGCUUGGCUAGACAAAAAAAAUAAAUAAAUAAAACUUUCUUGACGGCCAACUACUCUGUUACUCUAGCAGCAGAGUAGUUGGUUUGUUGAUUAGUGUUAUUGACGUACUAUGAAUUGUUAUUGACGUACUCUGUAAUUAGUACUAAUUAAUGUACACUUCCCUUGUUGAAAUUUGAAAAAGAAAGAAGAAAGAAUGAGACCUAGCUCACUUGAAUUUACACCUAUAAAUAUACUACGUAAUUGGAAAAGAACUUAGCUAGUUUGCCAUAUUAUUCUGAAUUGUUUAACCUCUUGGCUCUUCAAAUACCAGCAUUGGCUACCCCUCAUUGCUAAUUGAUCAGGCUAAAUUGAGCUACGGGAAGUGCGUAUAAGGAAAGAGGCUGCCUAAAACCAUGGAAUGCGCUUCAAAUAUCAGGCUUCCGGUCAUAAAUUUAACGGAGGAAAUCCUAAGAUCCGGAAAAGAUUCUUGGACUGAAGCGCGAAACAUUGUCACACGGGCAUUUGAAGAGUAUGGCUGUUUCAUAGCUGUUCAUGAUAAGUAUCCUUCAGAGGUUAGUGAUUCCUUAUUCUCUGAGCUGCAAGAUUUGUUUAACCUGCCGUUGGAGAUUAAAGUCCAAAACACUUCUCAAACUCCCCUCUCUGGUUAUGCUCGGCCAAGACCCAACGUGAACCUCUACGAAAGCAUGUGCAUUGAAGAUGCAACAAAUCUUGAAGCAGUCGAGAAGUUCGCAAAUCAGAUGUGGCCUUCCAAAAAUAACCAUUUCUGGUAAACUUGUUUCCAUUAAUAUGUAAUUCUUCUUAUAGUUUAUUGCUACUAUGCAUUAUUCACAUCCGAAAUGCUUACCUUUUUUUUUUUUUUUUGAAUAUGCCCUCCCAUGACUAGUGAACUGUUUCAUUGCUAUGCAAAUCAAGUAGCAGAAUUAGAUAAAAUGGUGAGCAAAUUGGUGUUUGAAAGCUAUGGUGUGGAGAAGUACCACGAAUCUCAUGUGGGAUCAGUGACUUAUAAUGUUAGAUUCAUAAGGUACAGGGUACCCGAACAGAAUGAGAUGAAUGUCGGAGUUGCUCCUCAUACUGACAAGAACUUCAUAACCAUACUUCAACAGAAUGAAACUGAUGGUUUACAAGUUCAGUUGAAGAAUGGAAGCUGGAUUCCUAUUGAUUUUCCUCCUUCCUCCGUAGUAAUCAUGGCUGGAGAUGUAUUCUCGGUGAGAUAUUUUCUUUUUUUGUCAUUAAAUGUGCAAGCCUGGAUCAUAUUAAACUUGAUUAGUUACAACAUUGCAAUCCUCUAAAAAUCCAUGUUUUAAAAUUCCAUUUUCCUUUUCAAAUCAUUUCCCUUUGUCAUGAAUAUACCGGGACAAUUGUUAUGUGUUUUUCACCUGAAACUAAAAUGAAAACAAAUAUGCAAAAGAAAGAUUAGACAAUAACAAUAUAUUAAUACUCAAGUGUGGAGGGUUGAGACACGGAUAUUUCUGUUUCUCUUUAAAAUGAUUCAAGCCUCUAUAAAAGAAUCAACUCUAAUGCAACAAGUUUUCUAACUUGUCAUUUCCAAGAUACACCACUUCAGCCAUACUUACUAACACUCUCUUUAGACUACACAACUGGGAGAGUAUACCUUUAUAAAUGCCUUAUUAAUUUCUUGUCUAACUAUGAUACAGAAAAUAAUGAAUUUAGACUCAAAAGACAUAAACAGUUGCAGUAGAACUUUUCUAUCUCAACUAUGCAUAUAUAUAUAUAUAUAUAUAUAUAUAUAGGUGAAGAAAAGUUAGAUAAACAUAACCUAUAUUCCUAAUAAAGUACUAAGUAAAUGCUGAAAUUAUUGGCCAUUCAAAACACAUUCAAUUUUAUAUUGUAGGUUACAAAAAACUUAUUGUAAUUGAAACAUCAUAAUUUCACAUUCUUUGGUCAAUACCCAUUCAAUCCAAAUUUGAAUUGUAAGUUACAAUACCUCGAAGUAAUUGAAAAGUCAUAAUUUCAUAUAAUAAAUCUUCAGGAAAAACCAUUCAAACACCUAUAAAUUUCAGAAAAUUUCAAUAAUUUAUUUCCCUUUUAACAUGCACAUUUAAUUGAGAAUUUAAUUAUUUUAUUAAAAUACUACAACAUUAUGUAAAAAGCAAAAAACAAAGUUAAAAAACUUUGGUUCAAUUAGAAAAGUUGAUUCAAUAAUGGCUUCGCCAUACAUCAUCUAAGUUGGAUGUGUUAUGGUCAAAUUAGAACGAAAAGGAAAAAGGCCUCACAGAUGUUACUACCUUAAUCAUCUAGAAUAUUGGCAUGGCAUUUGUGCCAUAACUUUCAGUAUUUUUGCUGUAAAUGCUGACUUCUCUAGUGGAUAUUAAUAUAUUGAUUGUAUACAUUUUUGAAAUGCAGGCGUGGAGCAACGGUAGAGUGCAUUCCCCAUUUCAUAGAGUAACUAUGAAGGGAAGAGAAACUAGGUAUUCGAUUGCACAAUUUUCCUAUUGCAAAAAAUUGGUAGAGACACCAACAGAGUUGGUUGAUGAUGAACACCCCUUAUUAUAUAAGCCAUUGGACAAUUUUGGUUAUCUCCGAUUCUUGAGCACAGAUGAUAAUUUUAAUACUCCAAAUCCACUGAAGGCCUAUUGUGGCGUCUAA